CAUGAUUUUUGUUCACUAAGAUCACAUACCAACCCCUGCACUUGCAUACACAGCAUGAAUGCACUCGCUUUUAUUGAGAGAAUGGUUUCACACAUUUGAAUGUGGCAACAUUGGGAAGCAUCUUCAGUGUUUCAUUGCUUCAAUAAAGGUUUUGAAAUUCUUGUAAGAAGAUCCGCCUUCGCUUACACUCUUUCUAGUCAUUUCCUUCAACUUCUCUGCAUUUGCUUUUAUGCCAUCAUCAGAGACCAACUUUUCAAUCUUCAUCUUAAUCUCAUGCCUCGAUAUGAGUCCAUUUUCAUCUGGGUUCAAUCCCAAGCCCACCUUCCAUUUGUCGCAUAUGUAAUUCUGGUCAAGGAAUUGAUCUACAACGUAGGGCCAGCACAGGAAGGGGACUCCCAUGCUUAUGCUGUCCAUGGUUGAGUUCCAACCACAAUGGGAAAAGAAGCAUGCAACAGAAGGGUGAGCUAAAACCUCUUCUUGGGGUGCCCACGAGACAAUCUUUCCAUGGUCAGCUACUCUCUCAAUGAAACCAUCAGGGUAUUCAGCAGCUGAUCCAUCGGUGAAGUCUGAUCGGACAACCCAUAAAAAUGGUCGGCCUACAAGUUCAAUACCAAGUGCUAAUUCAUUGAAUUGGUGCUGGGUUAAGUUUCCGGUGCUGCCAAAAGCAACAUAAAUGACUGAGCCAGCAGGUUGUUUAUCGAGCCAGCCUAUGCAAGUUGAAUCCUCAGGCCAAAAGUUUGCAGCAUAAUGACCCGGAUCACUACUUGCAGGUAACGGGCCAAUUGGUAAUAAGUUAGGAAUCAAGUCACAAGCAGAUGAGUCAAGUUCGUAAACACAGUUGCAAGGAAGCCUCUUGGAAGAAUCCAUAAAUUGAAUAGAUGUGAGAUAAAUUCGGAAAACCCACUCUUGUACCUUCAGAUCAAUUGGCCACUUCCAGGGCAAGCCGUUGCAGCUCAAGACUGGAAUACCCUUCGACACGCAGAUCAACUCAUCUUUCAGAGGAGUUCCUGCAGAGAUAUUUGAAUCAUUUCUAUCAAAACCAAGAAAUUUCUUAGACAACAAGUUAAUUUUAGAAAUAUGAUAUAAAUUAACAAGUUGAAGCCUUAAUACCAUCAGUACUAUUUACGAUUCCACUCAAUUAACUUUGGAAUAUGAAGUGCCAAAGCCCAGAUUCCUGCUCCCAUAGGACAAAAAAGGACCCCUUCGAUUCCCAUCUUCUCUGCCACCUCCAUUGGCCACCGCUCAAGUGUUAUGUCAGCAAUAACACAAGUGAUCUGCUCAUCAUCAUUCGAGCGGUUGACUUUCUCAAUUAAAUCCUUCAAAUGACCCGGCAUGACUCUUGAACUACUUUCUGUUAUCUUGAGCAAGUUUUUCCGAUCGUCCCCUGGAUCCAGACCAUCUGGGAUAGAGACUAGCCCUAUCCCACUCUGAGCCUCAGCCUCAUGUGGGAGUGCAGCCAGCAGUUUAGCAUGUAUGAAGUCAGAGUUAACAAAGGUGACCUUGAUCCCGUGAUCAGAAAUCCGGUGUGCAAGCCUCAUAAGAGGAGCAACAUAUCCUUGCGCUGGGAGUGGUAUAAUCAGCACAUGAGGUCGCCUGCCCAUGGUCCUUGCUAACUUGCCAACACUUCCACCCUUCUCUUUGCUCUGAUCCCAAGCUUCACUAAUAUUGAUACUAUUUUAUUUGCCUAAGCCCUCCUUGGAACUGCAUUUAUGAAUUUUAUACCUAUUGUCCUCCUAAUUGAGGUGCAAAACUUUUUUCCCUUUCAAAAAACAAAGGGAAUAUGAAGUCCUUGCUAGCUUUUUUAACAAUGAAAACUAGUGGAAGUUCACCGACACUGUAGGGACCCCUCCCCCUGAUGACACGUGGCACACAUUUCUAUCCGGAUUAGCCCCAUCCGGAUUUUCCCAAGAGGACACAUGGCACGCUUCUCCUAUCCGGACUCCCUCAGGAGAGGCACACGACACUCGUAAACAUCACAUCCGGACGACCGACAUAGCCUAUCCGGAUAUGUUUGUCCGGAUCAUUGACUAAAGUAAGUAAGUCUUACUACGUCAUUCCGACAGCUUGCCACGACCCACGUUUCGCCAUCUGCAGAGUGAAAAGACAGGAAUGAUGGCAAGUCACUUCCCACGAUCUCUGACAGCUGCGGCGCCUCCCACGAUUUCUGUCAGCCGCCUGUAGGGUGAUGAUGGCCUUGCCACCACCUAGAGGCAUCAUGACAAGCCAAAAUAUCUCCCUAUCAUUAAAGAGGGAGACAGAGCUUCUGAUACUAUAUAUAUGGACCUUCACACAAGGAGGAAGGUAAGCUUGCGAUACCUAGUAAAAAGCCAACUAAUUAUUCUCUCUAACCAUGGUUGACAAAACCAUCGGAGGGUGUGUCCGAACACCCUGUCCGGACGCCUUUUGCAGGAACGACUGAACCAGGACUCUAUAUUGGUUGAGAUCGUGCGUCCAUUCAUUUGGCAACUACGUGGAUCACCAGGGACGCGAGGCCUCAACAUUGGCGCCGUCUGUGGGAAUUUAUUGAUUCAGUCACCGACAAAUAUGACCACACCUUCUAGAAGCCGCUCGUCUAGUAGGGGAGAGGAAGAUAACUCUGAAUGGCGCCAAGCCAUUAAGAGAAGACAGUUAGCGAGCGAACGACAACUACAAGCUCUCCUCCAGGAGACAGAAAGACUAAGAGAAGAGAACGCUGUGUUGCGUAUAUAGGCUUCAUCGACGGGGCCUCCCCGUCGUCAGCGUUCAAGAGGCCAGGUAGCAAACUCAAGGCCAGACCCAGAGUCAAUAUACCCUGGGACAGCGGGAGCCAUCCCAGAAACAGGCAAUGUUAGACCACAUGAGCCACACACGCCCCUGCACCGAGCUCCCCAUGAGGAAAGCUUAGACUCUACUCAUUUUUCAGCAAAAAGACAACGCGAUAGAAGAUCCCAGUUGUCAAACUCAAUGCGCGCAAGACUAGGCCCACAAGAGCCUGGAAGGCCAAGGCCGCCAGUAGCCACAACCUGGGCAGCACACCCUGACCCUAUGGUCACCCCCAUGGUGCAGAACGUUCUCCCGCACCAUGACCCUAUGGUCACCCCUAUGGUGCAGAACGUUCACUCGCACCUAGCGGUACGACAAGCUGGGAGAAACCUCCCAAACGAGCCACCCAUUGGCUCCAUCAGCAAAAGGUUGGACGACAUGCUCUCCACGCCUUUCUGCUCUCAUAUCAUUCAUUACGAGCCCCCAAGGGGAUUCCUUGUGCCAAAAUUCUCCACAUACGAUGGCUCCAGCGACCCCUUCGAUCAUAUCAUGCAUUAUCGACAGCUCAUGACUCUCGAUAUAGGCAACGACGCGCUGCUAUGCAAAGUAUUCCCCGCCAGCCUACAAGGGUAGGCCCUCUCAUGGUUUCACCGCCUACCUCCCAGCUCUGUUGAUAAUUUCAGAGACCUAUUGGAAGCCUUCGUGGGACAAUACUUAUGCUCCGCUCGACAUAAGCAGAACAUCAACACUCUGCAAAACAUAAAAAUGCAGGAUAACGAAUCCUUAAGGGAGUUCGUGAAGCGGUUUGGUCAGGCCGUACUACAGGUAGAGGCUUACAGCAUGAAUGCUGUCCUGCAGAUCUUCAAGCAAAGUAUCUGUCCAGGCACCCCAUUUUUUGAAUCACUCGCUAAAAAGCCUCCUACGACGAUGGACGACUUGUUUCGGCGUGCGAGCAAAUACUCAAUGCUCGAAGAUGACGUGCGAGCAGCCACCCAACAAGUCUUGGUUGUCGGAUAGGCAUCCAGAAGUGGCACGAAAAGAAGUGCCAAACUUCCGGACCGGCCAAGGCCGUCCGAUCGAAGGCAGGAAGGGCCAAGUCGCCCGGAAAGGCCGUCCCUCACACCCCUUUCCAUAUCCUAUGAGAAGCUUCUCCCUAUGAUCCAAGACAUGUCCGACUUCAGGUGGCCUAGAUCCAUCGGAACGGACCCAUCCAAAAGGGAUCAUAGUAAAAAAUGUGCCUUCCAUAAGGAGCAUGGUCACACAACGGAGACAUGCAGGUGCCUCCAUUAUUUGGUCGAAAGGCUCAUAAGGGCGGGACAUUUAAAGCAAUACCUCCGCUCAGAUACCGGAGAUAGAGAUGCUUCCCGAAAUCACAACUCUGGAGCCCCUAGGGCCCUAGCCGCCCCCAAAGCCGUUAUAAACUAUAUUAACGGAGGCCCAUCUGACGAGGAGUACGACUCCAAACGAAAGAGACAAAAGUUGUUGCGGGCAGCAUCAGUGCGCGAGCGUGUCAACUCCAUCCGGCCUGGGAUAACUGGGGGGGCCCUCGCCCCAUAGAUGGGACAAUCAUUUUCCCACCAGUAGACCCCACCUGGAUAUUGCAGCCGCAACGCAACGCCCUCAUCCUGUCCCUAAAGAUAGGAGACUUCGACGUGAGACGCAUCCUGGUUGACCCAGGCAGCUCGGCCGAUCUUGUGCAAGCAUCGGUCAUUAGCCACAUGGGGCACAGUCUCACAGGCCUCGAAAACCCUGGGCGAAUCCUGUCCGGAUUCAACAGGGCGUCAACUACUUCCUUGGGAGACAUUGUAUUGCCGGUCCAAGCUGGCCCAGUCACUCUCAACGUACAAUUUUCGGUGGUACAAGAUUUAUCACCCUUCAAUGUCAUCUUGGGGCGCACAUGGCUGCACUACAUGAAAGCCAUCCCCUCUACAUAUCAUCAAAUGGUAAGUUUCCUUACCAAGGAUGGGCAAAUUGACCUAUACGGCAGCUAGUUAGCCGCUCGCCAAUGCUACCAGAUAGCACGAGAAGCAGGGACCAGCCAGGAGGAUGCAUCCCUCCCUGAGUCCAGCCAUGCACGUGACCAAUAGCAAUUAUUGAGUUCGGCGGUCAAAGAUCCCCCGACAGCGGAUCCCUUGCAAACGAUCCAAAUUUCAGAAGAAGGUACUCACCUUACGAAUAUCAGUUCCCUUCUAACACCAGAAGAGACCCGGAACAUGCAGAACGCCCUUAGACAAAACCAUGACGUCUUCGCAUGGGCACAUUCUGAUAUGAAGGGAAUUCAUAUCUCCAUUACCUCUCAUAGGCUUAACGUCUUGCCAAUAGCCAGACCUAUCCGGCAGAGGGUUAGACGUUUUCACCCAGACAUACAAAAAAUUAUCCGGAAUGAGAUUGACAAGUUGCUAGAAGCCGGAUUCAUCAGGGAAGUGCAUUACCCGGACUGGUUGGCAAAUGUAGUGGUGGUACCAAAAAAAAAAGGCAAAUGACGGGUAUGCGUCGACUACACCAACCUCAAUAAUGCAUGCCCAAAAGACAGUUUCCCUUUGUCACGGAUAGAUCAAAUUGUGGACUCCACUGCUGGGCAAGGGAUGCUCUCCUUCUUGGACGCCUUCUCCGGAUACCACCAAAUCCCCAUGUCCCCGGCUGACGAAGAAAAGACAGCCUUCAUAGCACCACAUGGUCUCUAUUGCUACAAAGUCAUGCCAUUCGGACUCAAAAACGCUGGCGCCACUUAUCAGAGACUGAUGACGAAGAUCUUCAAACCUCUGGUCGGCCGCACAGUAGAGGUAUAUAUUGACGAUAUCGUGGUUAAAAGCAAAACCCGAGAGGAACAUGUCCUCCACUUGCAAGAAGUCUUCCACCUCUUAAGGAAGUAUGACAUGAAGUUGAAUCAUUCUAAAUGCGCCUUUGGCGUAAGUGCUGGCAAAUUCCUGGGAUUUAUGGUCAGCCAAAGGGGGAUAGAGGUCAGCCCAGACCAAGUCAAGGCAGUCAUGGAAACACCACCCCCCAGGAGCAAAAAGGAAUUACAGCGCCUCACAGGCAAGCUUGUCGCGCUAGGGCGUUUUAUAGCCCGCUUCACUGAUGAACUGCGACCCUUCUUCUUAACAAUACGAAAAGUAGGAGCAAACGGAUGGAUAGACAGCUGUCAAAGCGCUUUUGAAAAAAAUUAAACAUUGCCUCAUGCAACCGCCCAUCCUGAGCAGUCCCCUCCCUGAAGAAAAACUGUAUAUGUAUCUGGCUGUAUCGGAGUGGGCAAUUAGCACUGUUCUAUUCCACUGCCCCUCACCCAAGGAGCAGAAACCUAUCUACUACAUUAGUAGAGCAUUGGCGUACGUAGAAACCAAGUAUUCAAAGAUGGAGCUAACGGCCUUAGCUCUUUGAAGUGCCGCCCAGAAGCUCCGCCCCUACUUCCAAGCCCACCCGGUGGUCGUGCUAACUGACCAGCCCCUUCGCAACAUUCUACACAAGCCAGACUUAACCGGAAGAAUGCUUCAAUGGGCCAUAGAGUUAAGCGAAUAUGGAAUCGAGUUCCAACCCAGGCUGUCCAUGAAAGGCCAAGUUAUGGCUGACUUCGUGCUGGAAUACUCCCGAAGGCCUAUCCAGCGCAAGGAACCAAGUGAAAAAGAGUGGUGGACUUUGCGGGUCGAUGGAGCCUCACGAUCAUCAGGAUCCGGAGUAGGACUCCUACUGCAAUCACCAACAGGAGAACAUCUGGAGCAAGCCAUCAGGCCGGGGUUCUCCGCCUCUAGCAAUGAAGCGGAAUAUGAGGCCAUCCUAUCCGGAUUGGACCUCGCACUGGCUCUAUCCGUCUCCAAGCUCCGGGUUUAUAGUGACUCCCAACUCGUGGUAAGGCACGUUCAGAAGGAAUACGAAGCUAAGGAUGCAUGCAUGGCGCGAUAUCUGACUAAAGUAAAGGACACCUUACAACGAUUCACUGAAUGGACGAUCGAAAAAAUCAAACGAACUGAAAAUGGAUGUGCCGACGCCCUAGCAGGCAUAGCUGCCUCCCUCCCCAUCAAAGAAGCCAUAUUGUUGCCUAUACAUGUGUAAGCCAACCCUUCCGUCGCGGAAACCUCCAUUUGCAAUACCAUUGAGGCAAACCAAGUAGACGGCCAAGAGUGGACAGAAGACAUUAUAAGGUACCUCCAGACAGACACUCUGCCUGAAGAGCCCAAGCAGGCACAUAAGCUCAGGGUGCAAGUCGCCCGUUUCACCCUGAUUGGGGGGCACUUGUACAAGCGAUCCUUCACAGGUCCCUAUCUCCGGUGCCUUAACCACUUAGAGGCCCUGUAUGUAUUAGCUGAAUUGCACGAGGGAGUAUGUGGAAAUCAUUCUGGAGGUUGAUCUCUGGCACACAGGGCCCAUUCGCAAGGAUAUUACUGGACCAUGAUGAAGAAGGAUGCGGUAGCCUAUGUCAAAAAAUGUGACAAAUGCCCAAGGCAUGCCCCCAUACCACAUGUGCCGUCGGAGACAUUGAAGCCAAUUUCAGGCCCCUGGCCCUUCGCGCAGUGGGGCAUGGACAUAGUAGGACCCCUACCAACCGCACCCGCUCAAAAGAAAUUCCUGCUUGUCGCCACGGAUUACUUCAGUAAAUGGGGGGAAGCUGAAGCAUACGUUAACAUCAAAGACAAAGAUGUCACCAAGUUCGUGUGGAAGAACAUCAUCUGCUGCUUCGGAAUCCCCCAAACCAUUAUAGCCGACAACGGUCCACAGUUUGAUAGCAUCGCUUUGCGGAAUUUCUGUUCGGAACUAAACAUCCGGAAUUCAUACUCCACACCGCGUUAUCCUCAAAGUAAUGGGCAAGCAGAGGCCACAAACAAGACCCUAAUAACUGUCCUAAAAAAGAGGCUCGAGCAAGCCAAAGGAAAGUGGGUGGAAGAGCUACCCGGUGUCCUGUGGGCUUAUCGAACCACACCCGGACGUCCAACAGGAAACGCUCCCUUCGCCCUCGCAUACGGUAUGGACGCAAUCAUUCCUACUGAAAUAGGGCUACCCACUAUCCGGACCGAGGUAGGAAGGCAAGAUGAUGCAAAUGUGGAGUUAGGCAGAAACUUGGACUAGGCAGACGAAGUAAGAGAAACUGCAUCCAUCCGGAUGGCGGAUUAUCAACAAAGGGCAUCUGCUCACUAUAAUCGCAAAGCAAGGCCCAUAAGUUUCAAAACUGGAACGCUGGUCCUUAGGAAGGUUUUGGAAAAUACUGCAAAGAUAGGAGCGAGAAAAUUUUAAGUCAAUUGGGAAGACCCCUAUAUAGUAUCUAAGACAAGUGAAAGUGGAGCCUAUCAUCUACAGAAGCUAAACGGAACCCCAUUGCUCCGACCAUGGAAUGUAUCUAAUCUAAAGCAGUAUUACCAAUGAAAGAAAAAUAGAGGUACAAAUAUGAAUAAGUAUGUUUUAUUAGAACUUGUGAAAAUUGUAUACAAAAGUUCUCUGGACUACAAAAUACAGAGAGAAGAUAGCAGUAAAAUUACAAAAAGAAAAGCUCUCAUUGGGAAGGCUUGCCGCGCAGCUUCUCCUCCUCAGCCGGGGGAAUCGAAGGGACGUCCCGCUUAAUACCAUGUUUCUUCAUACAACAAUGGUAGCCAAAGAAGUACAUUUCGUCUACCUGCUUCUGGCAGUCCGCUUCGAGUUCCUCCCUUUCCACAGCAAACUCAGCCUCCAACUCUUCUUUUUGCACUGAUAAACGCGACUGCAAAUCCUCUCUCUGCUUUUUCUCGAUUGACACAUCUGUCCGGAGUCGCCUCACUUCUCCCCUCAGCUGGGCCAUCUCGUCCUCCGCCUCAUGCAGGCGGGCGUUUGUAGAUUCCUCCCGACUCUUUGCCUCAGCUAGCUCUAUCCGGAGAGCCUCGUUGUCAUCCUAGGCAGCGGAUAAACUGGCUUCGGCCUGCUCCAAUCUCAAGCGCAGUUCCUCUUCACUGUCUUUGCGCUGGGAGACGAAGGCCUUCAUAUAAUCGGCAGUCCGCAGCAGGUCCGAAAAAAGAUCGCGUUGUUGAGCCAUGCCACGAAUACCGCUCACCAGCUACAGAAAAACCUACAAACAAGAAGUGCAAAGUUACAACCCAUGUGACAAACACAUCAAUAUGGCAGGAAAAAUCAAGAAGUAAACUAUACCAUUUCCGCCGCUUCAAACAUUUUUGCUGAAUGCACAUCAACAUUUGAGCCGGGUGGAAUCCGUUUCAGCAUCUCUCCCAACUCCGCAUAGCUGAAAGGGCUAGCGGAGAUGCAAGCCGCAUCAUCAACUAGACUUCCCCCUGACAAAACAGUAGGGUGUGACUCCUCUCUCAGGUCCGGGGCCCCAUCAUUCUCGGCCAGCUGGGUCUCUCCGGGUGAACCCUCAUCCAGGACUAGCACCGGGGAGGUUGGGUUUUCUUCUGCCAUCUCAGUCUCACUCCCCUCAUGAUGAUUCUCCUGGACGGAUGAGCAGCUGACUUCGAUGGUUUCCAGAAAACGAUCCUGAAGCCGCCCGAUGAGGCCAAACUUUAAGUCGCGGGCCGGACGAGACCUCCUUGUAGCUGGCCCCUUCACCGGUACAAAGGCAAGGGAGCUUGGCUCAUAAGGAGGCAAACCCUAACUUGCAGCCCCCGUUUCUUCCAUUGGCAGUGCCGUAGGAGGCUACGUUUCAAUACAAGAGGCCCCGGCUACAUCCGCGUCCGGAUGGGGAGAGCCGGGCUGAUUUACUGAAGUCGCUUCCUCAGCCAGAAGAGCCAGCCGUCCAGCCGCUGGCAUUGAAGGCCCCGAAUGGUUUAGACCCGCGAGACAUCCGGAGCCGCUUGAAACAGAGGGCAAGACGGAGGGAUCUGGCGUUCUUAUUGUUACUCCCUUUACAUAAGUUGGAGGUGGUAUCACCACUUCCUUUGGGGGAGUUGGAAGUUUUAUUUCUUUCCCCUUAUUGAGAACCUUCUUCUUCUUUUUCGCUGGGGCGCCAGCAGGUGGAGAGGACGCGGGACAUUUAUUACCAGGAGCCUUCCGCAAAAGUCCUUCUUGCCUUUUCUCUUCCCGUUUGUUGAGACGGGCUUUGCGUGACUGGGUGUCCGCCUUUCGCACCGCCGCGUAGAAUGGGAGAUCUUUGAGAACGAAAUGCUCACCAGCCACCACCUCUUUGGGCAGCCGCCUCGGGAGUAUGUUCAGCAUGUACGGCUGGGGCUCCUGGAUAACCAAGUGAAGAUUCUGCGCGGAGAGAAGCGUUUCACAACUCCUCUCGACCGCCGCAAUCUCAAAAAGCCUGUUCAACCGGUCGAACGUGGCUUUCUCCACCCAUUCUACCAACUUCCCCCUUUUAUCCUUGUCUGCAACCAAGAAAACAAAACAUGUCAGCCACCUAACAAUGCUGACCUAACUCGCAAACCGCAGAAAGACAGGAAGUAACUUAUUCAUACCUGAGACCUUCAAUGACUGGUUGGGAGCUAACUACCUAUCCGGAUGCACCGUCAAACCCGCCCAUAGGCCCUUGACCAGCACAUGACCCUUGGCGGCCCCCUUGGUCGAGUCCGAAAGGCUGGUCACCAACUGAAGGGAUGGAAGGCUAGCGACAAAGCUGAAGAUGUCAUUUUUCACCUUCUUAAUCGAAUAGAUGAAGAGAACCUCCAGCAGUGAGAGGUCCAGAUUGAACAACAUGCUCAGAAUGCUGCACCCCAUCAGCACCCGGACCAUGUUGGGAUGGAUGUAAGCUGGAGGAAUCUGAGUGAAGUGAAGGAAUUCCUUGAACAAUGACGGGAGGGGGAACCGGAGCCCAGCAUUGAAUUGCUCAUUGGAAAAGAAGAUAGCGUUGUCUUCAAUUUUCUCAGUCGACACGGCCUCUCCGUCCGUAAGUUCAAUGAACAAGCCAUUCGGGAUGCAGAAGCGUUCGCGAAACUCCCUCACAUUCAACUUAUCCACGGAUUUCUCAGCAUGAGCAUCUCCGGACGAGCUAGAUGAAGUAGCUUCCUAGUUCGCAGACAUUUUUUAGGCUGGGGCUGAAAUGGAAUUUGCAUGGAGGAAUGCCAACAGUCAAACACAGCAAUCCGACCCCACAACCCUAACGACAAAAACGCUCAGAAAGCCUAAACAACACCAGCAUCCCCAUCUCAAACCUUAACUCUACCGCAAAGAAGAAUCGAUGGCCUACAAAAGGCACAGGGGUGUUGAGGCCUCGCGUCCCUAGUGAUCCACGUAGUUGCCAAAUGGAUGGACGCACGAUCUCAACCAAUAUAGAGUCCUGGUUCAGUCGUUCCUGCAAAAGGCGUCCGGACAGGGUGUCCAGACACACUCUCCGAUGGUUUUGUCAGCCAUGGUUAGAGAGAAUAAUCAAUUGGCUUUUUACUAAGUAUCGCAAGCUUACCUUCCUCCUUGUGUGAAGGUCCAUAUAUAUAGUAUCAGAAGCUUUGUCUCCCUCUUUAAUGAUAGGAAGAUAUUUUGGCUUGUCAUGAUGCCUCUAGGUGGUGGCAGGGCCAUCAUCACCCUACGGGCGGCUGACAGAGAUCGUGGGAGGCGCCGCAGCUGUCAGAGAUCGUGGGAGGCGCCGCAGUUGUCAGAGAUCGUGGGAAAUGACUUGCCAUCAUUCCUGUCUUUUCACUCUGCAGGUGGCGGAACGUGGGCCGUGGCAGGCUGUUGGAAUGAUGUAGUAAGACUUGCUUACUUUAGUAAAUGAUUCAGACAAACAUAUCCGGAUAGGCUAUGUCGGUCAUCCGGAUGUGAUAUGGCGGUCGUCCGGAUGUGAUGUUUACGAGUGUCGUGUGCUUCUCCUAAGGGAGUCCGGAUAGGAGAAGUGCGCCACGUGUCUUCUUAGGGAAAUCCGGAUGGGGCUAAUCCGGAUAGAAAUGUGUGCCACGUGUCAUCAGGGGGAGGGGUCCCUACAAGGGGGGCAACAGAAACCCUAAACACACCCAAAACACGAUCAAAACCCCCCGAAAAAAGCCCUAGAAACCAAUACCGACUCCCAAUCGCAAAGAAACUUGCCCAGCAAGCCAGAAACAACCAACAAAGCAAACACAAACGAGGAAAAGACAGAGAUAGAGAAUGUACCGAGUGUAAACUGGCGAAUGGAGAUGAAAAUCCACAGUGCAGUCACUGUCACGGCACGGGUAUUGCUAGCAGAAACCCUAGAAACUCACUCACAAAUGAAGAAAAACGCAGAAGGCUGAAGAGAAAGCACUACCAGUAGAAAAAUGCAGAAGAAAAAAUGCAACAAUAAAGGGCUCAGUCCGCUAUUUAUAGUGAGACAAACCCUCGGUAUCCCAAACGCUGAGCCGUGCCAUCAUUUUAAAAGACACACUGCCUGGGAAAUCCCAGAGACGGCGGCUCAUCAUAAAUGCUCUUCUUCCUUUUCGCCCCCGCUCGCCACAUGACCCAAUGAGCGCAAAAAGUAACCUCAGUUUCAAAAACAAUUAUUUUUAACCCGCCCAUUCUGCCCAGGCAAAAUCGACAAGUUAAAAGGGGGGCAUUGUAGGGACCCCUCCCCCUGAUGACACGUGGCACACAUUUCUAUCUGAAUUAGCCCCAUCCGGAUUUCCCCAAGAUGACUCGUGGCGCGCUUCUCCUAUCCGGACUCCCUCAGGAGAGGCACACGACACUCGUAAACAUCACAUCCGGACGACCGCCAUAUCACAUCCGGACGACUGACAUAGCCUAUCCGGAUAUGUUUGUCCGGAUCAUUGACUAAAGUAAGCAAGUCUUGCUACGUCAUUCCGACAGCCUGCCACGGCCCACGUUCCGCCAUCUACAGAGUGAAAAGACAAGAAUGAUGGCAAGUCACUUCCCACGAUCUUUGACAGCUGCGGCGCCUCCCACGAUCUCUGUUAGCCGCCCGUAGGGUGAUGAUGGCCCUGCCACCACCUAGAGGCAUCAUGACAAGCCAAAAUAUCUCCCUAUCAUUAAAGAGGGAGACAGAGCUUCUGAUACUAUAUAUAUGGACAUUCACACAAGAAGGAAGGUAAGCUUGCGAUACCUAGUAAAAAGCCAACUGAUUAUUCUCUCUAACCAUGGCUGACAAAACCAUCGGAGGGUGUGUCCGGACACCCUGUCCAGACGCCUUUUGCAGGAACGACUGAACCAGGACUCUAUAUUGGUUGAGAUCGUGCGUCCAUCCAUUUGGCAACUAUGUGGAUCACCAGGGACGCGAGGCCUCAACAGACACUAGAGAUGGAAAACCCUCGUCUCAGAAAUGCAAGGAAAGGGAAGAACGUGAAGAAUUUGAAGACCUUCACACUUGGAUCAACCCUUGUUUUCUUCUUUUCUCCUCACCUUUCACUCUCAACCGUCUGCCCACACAUAUGCUUCCACAGAGCCCUAGCUGCUGCAUUAUUGGCCUUAGAAACCAGCCGCCAGACCAGCCCAACAUGUGGGUUUGAAAAAAAUACUUUCCUGAGCUGGAACCCAUAUAUGGGCAAGCCCAACAAAGUCCAUCUCUGAUUUAUGAAUUUAUUUUAUUACCUCAAAGCUAUAGGUUUGUGGGUCUGGCCCACACUUAUUGUGGUGUAAUCUCCUAUGUGGUUAAUUUGUCUUUAUAGUGUCUUCUAUGGCUCUCCAUUGCACAUGGAACCAUAUUUAAGAAUUUCAUUUAGUUGGCUGCGUUUCAUCUCAUAGUUUUAUAUGACUGUUGUGAGUAAGCUUUUCAGGCAGUGUCCUGGAAAACUAAUAGAAUUUGGAGGAUUGUCUAAUUGAUCCUAAAGAAUUUUAGCUGAGUACAAAUGAAAUGUGGAAUUUCCAUUAUUCUAAGUUUUAAACUUAUAUUUCACUUAACAACUUUUUUUUUUCCUGCAUUACCACCUCAUAUUGGAUUGUAGCCAUCUUUUCUGUCAGUUUUUUCUUCUUUUCUAGUGUUGCUGAUGCAUUAAGAUAUAUAUCUUUUGUUUUAUAUGAUGAGGAAGUUAUCAUCACGUUUUUCCUUCGUCUUUUUUACAUACAAACUCUUAUGUAGCUUGAAUCUCUUGUCUUUUGUUGUCACAUCCCAAAACCCACUUCAAGGGCAUGACAGUCAUUUCACACCUCAAGCCCAAAGGCUCAAAGUGGAAACGAUACAAACAUUCAUAUUAUAACUGAAAAUUUACCAAUUACCAAAUUCCUAUUCAGAGUAGUAUGACAAAAUUCUAAAAUCUCUCCAAGUAUCAACUUUAAAAAAACUAACACAUCAACUAGAGUGUUAUUGUCCAUAUAACUCCAAAUUCAAAUAAUUUAAAUCGGAAUUAAAUUUUAACAUCUAAACAAUGUCCAAAAAUAAAGUUUGAACCAAAAUCCUAACAAAGAAAAAUUCCCAAGCCUAACCAUCACUCCUCGCCCGAACUGAGAGUACCUGAAAAAUUAUCAACGAAGGGGCAUGAGCUCAAUAAGGAACAUCAAUGUAGUUUCAUGGAUCAAAUAUUUUCAAUCAUGUUUGCAAAUAGGAGAUAUAACAUAUACUUAUUUUCAUAAAAAACUUUUGAGUUCGAAAUACUAAUAUAUUCAAACUUUUCAACAAACUUUCUCAUAUCUUUUUCAAAACAAUUUCUCAUCAAAACCAAAUCAAAUGCAUUCAAAAUAUCUUUACUCUGGUUAUCAAAUAACAAAUGGUGUCCAAUUAGGAGAGACUUCACAAAUGAGUGGCUAGUUUCAAAUUUGUUCUAGUUGAGGUGAACAAAACCAAAAGUCAACAAUUGUAACCCGUUGACUAGGAGUCAUAAGGUCAACUAUUAUAACUCGUUGACUAGAGCCACAAGGUCAACUAUUAUAACCCGUUGACCAUAUAAUAUCAACUAUUAUAACCCGUUGAUUAGGGCCAUAAAAUGUCAACAACCCAUUGACUAGGGCCAUAGGAACUAGAGUCAAACACUUUAUUUCAUUAAUUCAAACUUACAAAACAAAAUAUCAUAUCUCCAAAAAUUUUCACUUUUCAUAAAUAAACAAGGAAGAUUUUCAAAUAUACUUUCCAUACAAAACACAUAUUUGAUCCAUGCAAAAAGAUAAAAAUAAUAUUUUUACACUUUUAAAAAUACAAUAUAAAAAGGAAAUUAUUUUCUUUUGUAAACAUCUGCAUUAAUUUCCCUUACCUUGAAGAAACACUCAAAAUCUUGAAGUAUUUAACUCUAAAGAAUUUCCUCUUCACCUAACAUAAUAUCAUACACAAUAUUGAUUAUUGAUUAUUGAUUAUUUAUCCAAACAUAUAAAUUUGAAAAUCCUAAAAAUAUUUUAUUUAGUAUUAGGGAUCCUAAUUAAUUUCUCAUAUUAAUAUUAUUACCAUCCAAUAUUAUUUUCAACUUCCUAAACAAUAAUUUAUUUCCUUUUUUUCUAACUUAUCUAGCAUAAAUCUUUUAAGAAUAUUUAUUUGCAUUAAACUAUUAUUACUAUUAUUUAAAUCUCCUACCGAAACUUAACAAAUACCCCAUGCAAUCCUUUUUUCUUUUUUUUUUCAACAUGUCAAAUCCUUUCUACGCUUCUUUCAUCAUUUUUUUUUCUCUGAAGUCAAAACUUUUAACCUCUAUACUCACAAUUUUAUAUAAUUUUCACAUCCAAAACUAUAUAAUUUUUUUAAAAUUUAAUUUAAUUUUUUAUCUAAAUCUAUUCAUUUGAGUAAUCAAAAUUUAUUGAUCUCCAUUAAUAAAUCAAACUAUGUUCAUAAAUUUUUAAUCUUUGUGACCUAGAAAUUAAUUAAAUGAACUCUAAUCAAAAUUAAGAUAUUCUAAAGAAUAUCUAAAGUGUUUAAAACUAAUUAACGAAUAUAAAAUAUUAAUUUAAAGAUUAAAAAUCUUACCUGAAAAAUUGAUCUUCAAACCCUAAACCUUCAAACCUUCAACCCUAUGCUCUCUGAUCUUUCUGAUCUUUGUGUAAAAGAGUUUUCUGAAUAGAGAAUAUAGGAAAGAUAUAAUUUAUAUAUAGGGGUUUUAAAUACGAAAAAACCUUUUUACCCUUAUUAAAUUACUUUAAUUAAUUAAUAAUUUCUAAAUUACAAUUUUACCCCUAAAUUGGGUUUGGGGCAUUACAUUUGCAUCAUCAGUAUUUGUCUUUUUCUGUUAUAAACAAGCCUAUAUUGAUGUUGAGCCCUCCCUUCUACUUUAUUUAUGUAUUUCAUACAUUAUCUAGAAGCUAAAGUUUGUGGCUCAUAUCAUUUGUCACUUAUCUUGGUAUUUUGUCUUUAUAAAGUGUCUUAUGUGGCUCUCCAUUACAAAGGGUUAUGAAAAAGAUGUGGUUGUAAGGGCAUUCUCUUCUUUAGGUGGUAACUUUUGUUGAAAUCCAAAAAAAAUUCAAAGAGAAAAAGAGAAAAAAAAAAAAAAAGGGUUUCUUAUUAUGAAUUCUCUUGAAAAUACGUGCAACACUAUUACAAUUUAAAUAGACCUAAUAAAAGAAAAUAAAGACUAUUUUACCCUUACUUCUAAAAAUAUAGAAAAUAAUUCUAACAUUGUAACUAAAUAAACAACAAAUUAUUUUUUUGCCCUUCAGAAAAAUUUCCAUCACAUAACUCCAAAACAAAUAAUUUUAUUUUUUUGUAUCCAAUUUCCUACUUUUAGAUUAAAGGAAUCAUUUCAUUCACUAGGGAUGAUGAAUAAAUAACAAAUAACUAUCAAAAAAAAAAAAAAAAACAUAUAUGAAUCAAAGAAAAUGAAUACGAAAUCGAAUACUAUGAUCAAAUAGGAAAAGAAUUAUGUCAUUUAUCUUGGUAUUUUGUCUUUAUAAAAUGUCUUGUGUGGCUCUCCAUUGUCACUUAUCUUGGUAUUUUGUCUUUCUAAAGUGUCUUCUAUGGCUCUCCAUUGCCACUUAUCAAAAGUCUAAUUAAAAGAUAAUUUUUACUCUAAUACCAAGUUGAAAUCCAAAAAACGAUUUAAAGAUAAAAAGAUCGAGAAAAAACAAAAUUUAGGAUUUCUUUUAAAAAUAACUCCAACAUCAUUAGAAUUUAAAUAAACAUAAUAAAAGAACAUAAAAACUAUUUUAAUGUUGUAGAAAGAAAGAAAAUAAUUCUAAUAUAGUAACUAAAUAUAUAAUAACUAAAUAAUACAUAAUUCUAAUAUACUAACUAAAUAUAUCUAACACCUUUUAAGAUUGGAUACCGUAGAUGGGCCCUUUUAAAUAAUAUUUCUUUGAUGUGAGAAUGGGUUUGAUAUUUUAGUAAAAUAUAGUAAAAUAAUAUUUCUUUUAUUAUAUAAAACAUAAAAGAUAGGAUAUAUAUAUACAUAGAAAAUACGAACAUAUGUAAACAAGUUACGCCUCACACAUUUCUCAACUCCAUAUAUAGUAGUAUUUCUCAAGCAUAUAAUAACAAAGGAUGAAAAUGAAGUAGUUGAGAAUUGUAUGAGAAAUAGGUUCUAGUUACAUUGGGGUUCUUCUUGUACUAGGAGUUGUAGAGACAAGCAAAUUAAACUCCUCGUCAAAAAUAAAAAGAAGUAGAACUAGUUUACGUAUCACACUUGAAAUGAAAAUGCAUGGAAGAGAAAAGCCACACCUUCCUAGAAUCUAGCUACAUGUCCCAAUAGUGUUAGGAUUCCAUAUGAGUUAGAAGUAUAAAUUUUGUGAGCUAGCUCACUUUAUAUAUCCCCAUCAUCAUUAAUUUUUCUCAUGCAGGAAAGCCCAUUUCAAUUUUCUAUGGCUGGUGAAGAAAUAAGUGUCCCAAAGCUACCAGUAGGAUUCAUAUUUCUACCCACGGAUGAGGAGUUGGUGACCUAUUAUUUGAUCAACAGGGUGUAUUACAGGCCUCUUCCAGCCAAACCCAUUCAAGACAUUCCUGCAAGUGAAUUUUACGGCAGUCCUUCUCAUCAUCUAGGUACUUUGAUUUAUGAGCAUGAUAUACAUAUUAAAUCCAAAUCAUGUAAAAUUAUGUUUUUAGGAAAACUGGUAGUUCAACAUGGUAUCAAAGUUAGGAAAGAAGGCUCAAACUUGGGUUUUCUCCAAAAGUGGUUGAAUGUCGUAAAAGUUCGACCUACCCACUCUUCAAAUUGAUAAAUGGUAGUUUUUUCCAUUCAUACUUUCAUUCGUUCAUGUACAAGAGAAUAUAUAGAGGGUAAUCACCAUUUUAAGAAUGGGAAGGAAUGAUACAAGGAAAGAAUGAUAUAAGGAAAUAACAACUAAUAUCCUAAUAUCUCAAUAUUCCUAAUAUCUCAAUAUUCCUAAUAUCUCAAUAUUCUUAAUAUCUCAACUUUCCUAAUAUUUAAACAUUCCUAAUAUCUCAACACUAAAUAAUAUAAGGAAAUAAUGAUAUACGGAAAUCAUUCCUAAUAUCUCAACACUCCCCCUCAAGUUGGUGCAUAGAUGUCACACAUGCCCAACUUGUCUAAAAAUUUUGAGAACACUUGACUUGAGACAGCUUUGGUGAGGAUAUCGGCCAAUUGAUCUUCUGAUCGAAUCUUAGGCAAUUCCACAAUCUUGUCAUCCAAUUUUUCCUUAAUGAAGAAUCUAUCCACCUCGACAUGCUUUGUACGAUCAUGUUGUACUGGAUUAUGAGCAAUGUCACAUGCGGCUUUAUUGUCACAAAACAAUUGGAUUGGUUGCCUAGAUAGGUAACCUAAAUCCUGUAAGAGAAGUCUUAGCCAUAAUGCCUCACAAAGUCCUAGAGCCAUACCUCUAAAUUCUGCUUCUGUACUUGAACGAGCGAUGACAUUCUGCUUCUUACUUUUCCAUGUCACAAGAUUACCACCUACAAAGGUAAAGUAACCAGAUGUAGAUCGCCUAUCAUCCACUGCACCGACCCAAUCAAUAUCAAUAUAUACUUCUAUACUCUGAUGAUUAACAUUUUUAGUGAACAAAAUUCCCUUCCCAGGAGCAUUCUUCAAAUACCUCAAAAUACGCAUAACUGCAUUCAUAUGUUGCUCUCCAGGAUUAUGCAUGUAUUGACUCACUACACUCAAUGCAUAAGCAAGAUCUGGUCUUGUAUGAGCUAAGUACAUUAAUCUCCCCACAAGUCUCUGGUAUCUUCCCUUAUCAGUUGAUACUUGAUUAGGCUCAACACACAAUUUCAGACCUUCUUCUAUUGGUGUAUUAACAGGUUGACAUCCUGACAUUCCAGUCUCUUGUAAAAGAUCUAAGGCAUACUUUCUUUGAGACAGAAAAAUUCCUUCACUUGAUCGAGAAACUUCAAUCCCAAGAAAGUAUUUCAGAGGACCUAGAUCUUUCAUUUCGAAUUCUCUAGAUAGAUAAUUUUGCAGAGCUUUUCUUUCUUCAGGAUCAUUUUCUGUAACUACCAUGUCAUCCACAUAUACGAUGAGUGUGGUAAUCUUACCAUGUUGCUUUUUCAGGAACAAAGUAUGAUCUGAAUUACUUUGACGAUAGCCAAAAGCUCUUAUUGACUUUGUGAACCUUCCAAACCAUGCUCUCAGGGAUUGCUUCAACCCAUACAAUGACUUCUUCAAUUUGCACACUUUCUGACAUUGCUUUUUUGACACCAUGCAUCCUAGUGGAAUAUCCAUAUAUACUUCUUCAGAUAACUCGCCAUGCAGAAAGGCAUUUUUCACAUCGAACUGUUGUAAUGGCCAAUCUAGGUUUGCAGCUAAAGACAGUAAUACUCGAACUGUGUUGAUCUUAGCUACAGGUGCAAAUGUCUCUGUGUAGUCAAUUCCAUAAGUUUGAGUGUACCCUUUUGCUACCAGUCUUGCUUUAAAUUGUUCAAUACUACCAUUUACCUUGUACUUCACAGUAUAGAUCCAACGACACCCAACUGGCUUCUUUCCUGGUGGACAUUCUACGAGUUCCCAUGUUUCAUUCUUCUGCAAUGAUUUCAUCUUUUCAUUCAUGGCUGCUUUCCACCUUGGAUCAGCUAAGGCUUCUUGCACACUGUUAGGAAUAGCUACAGUAGAUAAUUGAUUUACAAAUGACUUAUUUGAUUCAGACAAACGAUGGUUAGACACAUAGUUGCUCAUGGGAUAUUUGACUUUGGUAGACAAUUCAGGUUUAUUUGUGGGUUUAGGAAUACCUCUAUUAUGACGGUGUGGUAACCGUUUCAUGAAUGGAUCAGGUUCCAAAUUAAGAACACCUUCAACAGACGACGAUUGGUUUGGUAUUUCAGUGAAGACAUCUUCGGACCCAAAUUGUUGACCACUCAUAUCCAACUCACCCGCUUCUUGGUUCACUAGUUCAGAUUGUCCAGAUUCAUUCUCCUUAGAGAUAUGAUAAUCAUAAUCGAGAGUCUGAAUUUCCUUAUGGUACUCCCCCUGAAGUUCAGACUCAGAUGAAAAAUACAUCGAAUCUUCAUGAAACACCACAUCCAUUGUAAUAUACAUUUGUCGAGUUGGAGGAUGGUAACAUCGAUAUCCCUUUUUAUGCAAUGCAUAUCCAACAAACACACAUUGCAAUGCAUGGGAAGUUAAUUUGGUGCGUUGGUGUUUGUGUAGAUGCACAAAUGCCACACAACCAAAAACAUGAGGAGGUAGAUUUGGGAAAGUUGGGGCAACUACGGCAUUAGUAAGAGCUUGGAGAGGUGUUUGGAAGUUAAUUGAGCUGGAAGGUACCCAAUUGAUCAAGUAUGCGGCAGAUGUGAUUGCUUCUCCCCAAUAAGAUAUCGGUGUUUUUGCUGCUAUCAAGAAAACACGAACAACCUCUAACAAGUGCCGAUUUUUCCGUUCAGCGACUCCAUUUUGCUGGGGUGUAUUGGAACAAGUAGUCUGAUGAAUGAUGCCAUGUCCUUCCAAAUACUUUUGAAGAUCAGAACUUUGAUAUUCUUCACCAUUAUCACUACGCAGAACCCGAACCUUUGCAUUGUACUGAGUUUCAAUCAUUUUAUGAAAUUUUUGAAACAACAAGUUCACUUCAUCUUUGGUCUUCAUCAAGCAUAACCAUGUCAUUUUGGUACAAUCAUCAAUAAAAGUAACAAACCAAUGUGAGCCACUCAAAGUUGGGACUUUGGAUGGACCCCAAACAUCAGAAUGUAUAACCAUAAAAGGAAACGGACUUUUGUUCAAAAUUAACGGAAACGAAACACGAUGGCUUUUAGCCAAUUCACAAAUAUCACAACGGAAACCAGAAAUAUCACUCUUUGCAAACAAACUAGGAAACAAUUUUUUUAAAUAACCAAAGGAAGCAUGUCCCAGACGUCGAUGCCACAACCAAAUUUCAGACUUUUUCUUCUCCCCCUCAGAUCCAUCUGCCAUCAAGGCUUGUUGCAACUUAUUUGAAUCCUUUGACUGCAAGUCCAAGUAAUAGAGUUUUCCCCGCUUAAUACCACAACCAAUCGUCUGUCUUGUUUGGAUGUCCUUAAUCACACAAAAUUCAGGCCAAAAAAUGACAAUACAAGAUAAGGCUGCGGUGAUUUGAGAAAUUGACAAAAGAUUGUAAUCUAAAGAUGGAACAACUAAGACAGAAUCCAAAUUCAAAGUAUCAGUAAGAGUUAAGGAUCCUUCCCCAAUGACUGGGGUUGUGUUACCAUUGGCUGUGGAAACAAUUUUUUGUGAGGAAGGUCUAAGGGGUGAAACCUGUCUAGAAUCAAAAGUCAUAUGAUCUGUAGCACCAGAAUCAAUUAUCCAUGCACUAUUAAUAACAGGUGUAAAAGUAUUUAAAAACUUACCACCAUGAUCUGUAGCGGCUACCAAUGCAGAGGCUUUCUCAGCAACAUUAACCUCUGUUUUUAUUUCGGCAACAGUUGCAAUCGAGGUUUUCUUGGAAUCCUUCUUCCGUUGAUCACGAUUAUUAUCAUUAAUAAACAAAGUGUUGAUAGCCCUAACAUGAUCUAAAGGUCCAUNNNNNNNNNNNNNNNNNNNNNNNNNNNNNNNNNNNNNNNNNNNNNNNNNNNNNNNNNNNNNNNNNNNNNNNNNNNNNNNNNNNNNNNNNNNNNNNNNNNNAAAGGUCCAUGGUCAAACCCUCGGUUCCUCAUUGUUUUCCUGGUCAUACCAAGAGUCGUUGCUUUGAAAUUAUGGGAUAUCCAGAUUGGUGGGAUCAAUCGUAUUGCAGUGAGUGCAUUUGAAGGUUGACUUAUCAACAUUAGGGCUUGUCUUAGGAUGGAUGAUCACUGUCGGACUACCAUAGCGACAAAAUAUUCAGGAUUUCAGUUUCAUGGCUCUGAUACCAUCUUCAAAUUGAUAAAUGGUAGUUUUUUCCAUUCAUACUUUCAUUCGUUCAUGUACAAGAGAAUAUAUAGAGGGUAAUCACCAUUCUAAGAAUGGGAAGGAAUGAUACAAGGAAAGAAUGAUAUAAGGAAAUAACAACUAAUAUCCUAAUAUUUCAAUAUUCCUAAUAUCUCAAUAUUCCUAAUAUCUCAAUAUUCUUAAUAUCUCAACUUUCCUAAUAUUUAAACAUUCCUAAUAUCUCAACACUAAAUAAUAUAAGGAAAGAAUGAUAUACGGAAAGCAUUCCUAAUAUCUCAACACCCACACAAACCAUGUUUUCCAAUGCUGUUCUUUUCCUUGACGAUACAAUAAGUGGGAUGGUAAAAAAGUUUAUUGGAUGUUUGGCUUAACUGCUUUUCAACUUCUUUAUUUGAUUCAUAACAGCAAUCUCAUCAAGCAGAGAAAGGGAGUAUUUUUUCUUUAUUCAAGGAGAUGAUCAAGGAGAGGAAAUUCGAAUGGUUGAAGAUGGAAGAGGGUUCUGGAAAUUGAGUGGAGAUGAGACUCCGAUCUAUGAUUCAGAUGGGAACAUCUUUGCCUUCAAGAUUUAUUGGACGUAUUUAUCAGGAUCGCUUCAGAAACCCAAGAAAACACAUUGGAGAAUGGAAGAAUAUCGACUUCCCCUUCAUUGUUACAUGGACCAUGAUUUCAAGGUGGGUGAAGAAAAUAAAAAGGAAUGACCAACAUAUGCAAUCUCGUUAUUUUUAUUGGUUUUCAUAAAUAUAAAAAUUUCAAUAUCAAAGAGAGUUUCCUCUUUUAUUUUUUUUAAAAUAAAAUGUGAAAGCAUUUUUAGAAAAUAAAAAUUUAAAAAUAUUUUCCAAAUUAAACACAAUUUAUUAUUAUUUUUUUUCAUUUUUCAUUUUUGUAUUCUUGUUUUUUGCAGGGAGAAAAAUUGGUAUUGGGAAGAAUCAAACGAAGCAAAGAUUAUAUUUCUUGGUUGUAAUUAUUAGGGAACAUGAUAUGUAUAUUGAAUUCAAAUUCUGUAGGCUUAAGUUUUUAGGAAAAUUAGUAGUUCAACGUGGUAUGAGAGCUAGGGAACAUGAUAUGUAUAUUGAAUUCAAAUUCUGUAAGCUUAAGCUUUUAGGAAAAUUAGUAGUUCAACGUGGUAUGAGAGCUUGAUUUAGUGAAAAGUCUUGUAUUCGAGCUGUCUCUUUAGAAUUCACAUUUUCCCAUAUGAAUCUAAAUUACCAAAAUCAUGUAAACUUAAACUUAUAUAGGAAAAUGAGUAGUUCAACAACAAAGUUUAUUUUAUUUUUUAGAAAAAUUGGUAGUUUAAUAUUAAAGUUUAUUUUAUUUUAUUUUUAUGUUAUUCUUUUGAUAAUGGGAUUUAAUUUAUUUAAGAUUAAAUUUAUGUUUGCAAAGUUGAAAUUAUUUAGUAAUUUAUGCACAACACUUAUUCUUCUAUUUUCUUGAUUCUUGAUCGAUUAUUUUCAUGUUGAAAUAACAUGUUGUAAAUUUUUUGAAAAAAUAUCAAUUAAAAAAAUGGUUAAUUUCGAGGACAUUGAAUUAAUUUUUAUAAUAAAAUUUAAAAUGAUUUCCUAUAAAUUUUAAAUUAGUUUUAUUAAAUAAAUGUUAAAAUUAAAAAAAAAAUGUUUAUUUUUUAUCUUGAAUUUUAACCUCAAUCUUCUCUAGUUUGAAAAUCAUUUUAUAGUAAAGACAACAAAAAGCAUAAAAAAUAAAUAAAUUUCUUAUUUUAAAAAAAUAAAUGAUUAAAUUAAAUUUCAAAUUAAUUUAAUAUAAAAUAGUAAUUGUUUUUACGCUUGAAAGUUUUUAUUUCACUUAAUUAUAAAUAAUAAAAAUGAGAGUAUUCUUUAAUCUAGAAAAGGAUAGAAAAUUUAUCCUUCUAAUGAGAUGAUAGUGUAAUGAUUAUAUUAUUUUAAAUUAUACAUAUACAUCACUUAAGAAAUUAAACAAAAUAUAUCAUUUUGAUAGUAAAUAGAAAUAAAUUUAAGAAAAAAAUUAUUUUCUAAUAAUUUUAAAUUUUAUCUUAAAAUAAAUUAAAAGAAUUCAAUUUUUCUAUUCACCUUUUAUAAGAAAUUAAAAUUUUAGUUUUCCAUAUUUCAUAUAUUUUUUUUAAAUGAAAAGAACCUUUACAAAUAAAUUGAUAAAUAAAAAAAUUAAUUUUAAGUCAAUGGAUGAUAAUUUUUUUUCCUUCAUUUUUUAAGUUUAUUUUCAUAAAAUCACAUGACUUAAUUGAUAUUCUUAAACUUGACUAAAAAUUUAACACUUGGUUUUUAAUUUCCUAUAGAUUAAAAAUACAAAUAUAAAUAGAAAUUUUUUUAAGUGAACUGAAAUCAAUAAUUUAUUUAUUUUCAUUCAAUUUUUAAUUAUAGUAAAGAUAAAGUAAUUAUAUUGGAAAUUAAUAAGUGCAUAAAUUUAUAAAUAUUUUCAAAUUUGUGGAUAUAAAUUUUAUUUUUCCAUGUUAUUAAAUCUAUCUAUUUAUGUUAUAUUCUCUCUACAAAAGAUUUUCUUCACUCUCGAUUAUUUGACAUUUUAAAAAAUUUAAUUAAAUAAAAAUCAUUUUGAAAUUUCUAGAAAUUUAAUUAAAUAAAUAUCUAUUUCAUAUAUUGCUUUUGCAAUUGAUAUUGAGACAUGAAUUUUAGCCUUUAAGAAACUUUCCCAAACAAAGCGUUAAGUUCAUUAAAGCAUCAAAAAAUUAACGCUUGGCAUGGAAUAAGCACUUUUCGGUACUACCAUACUGAAUAUUUUCCAGGGUCUUUGCUUUGGAAAUGGCUUUAAUCAAUCCUUGAAAGUUGGAUCACAUAAUAUCUUGUGUCAAAUCCAGCGCUCCUCAACAAUCUUCAUUUUGAAAACAAUCACAUUUUCACAAUGAAACUCUAUGGAAAAAUUUCUUUUCUAGCUCCUUUAUUAUGAUUUUUGCAGUAACAAACUUUUUUUUUGCUCUUUCUCUUUGUCAGUGAGUUAGACCAUAAAGUUUCGAUUCAUAAUUUUGUUCCAAACAUUAUAUGAUCCACAUGAUGCAUUUUUUGAGACUAAUUUUGAUACAACUUUUAAUGCUAGUAUUCAUCCAAACAAACUCAUUCAUAUUUACUUGAACGAUCUUAAAUAUGAUCCUCAAACUAAAAAACCAAAUUUGCAUAAUAGCAGGUGCUUAACACCUCUGGUGAGUGCUUAACACCCCUGGGGAGUGCUCAAGUGUUCAAGACUAAUUUUAUAUUUUUUUGUCAUUUUUAUUUUUUUUAUUUUUAUUUUGUUAUCGAUUUGGCUUGCUAGAGUUCAAAUACACCCUUUUUUUUUUUCAAUAAUUUUUGAAUGUUUUAAAUAUGCUCUAGAACAAUAUUGUCCUUAUUCCCAUUGAGGCUCCAAGAACCUCAUUCUUGAUAUAGAUUUGUUGGUGGUGGUGGUUGACUACAUCCCAUUGAGGCUUUAAGGAGUUCACAAUGGAGCACACUGUGUUGUGUUGGCUCCAAGAACCUCAUUCUUGAACCUCAUUCCAAGAACCUCAUUUCCCAAAGAGAGGAUGGCCGGGCUGCCCCCACUUUCAGUCCCCAUUUUCCCCCCAUUUUUUCUUCUUCAGUUUUUCUAACAGAGACACGGCAGCCCAGCCCCGAAUUUUUUUCUCUCUUUUCCCCCUCUCUGCAACUCCACUUCGAUUCAGAGCAGCGCCCAGGGAUUCACUUCUUUUUUAUUUUUUAUUUUUCAUCAUUCCAUUCACUCCACUACACCUCACCGGCCGAACACCCCUUCAUUUCUUUCCCAUUUUUUUUUUCCUUUCAUUCUCCAUUUUUUUUCCUUAUUUUCUUUAUUAUUAUUAUUAUUUUCAAAAACUCAACCCCUCACCGCCGUCGGGACACCGAUCAGUCGCCACCGGCGAGCCACUGCCGGUCGGUGAUCCCCUUCCCAUCUCACCCUUUCCAUUACUAUUAUUAUUAUUAUUAUUAUUAUAUUAUUAUUAUUAUUAUUAUUAUUAUUAUUAUUAUUAUUAUUAUUCAUUUUUCUCGAUUUGAUUAUAAUAGUAAUUGUUGUUUAUGAUACUUGAAUUGUUGAAUUAAUACAAAAUUUGAGUUAAUUUGUUGGUGGUGAAUUAAUAUGAAACUUGGGCUAUUUUUGUUUUUGCAUGGACUCGUUCUGCGAACUUGUUGGCUGAGUAUAAAUUUAUGACACGUGAAGCACGGAAUUUCAUGGAACAAAGUGAGACUCGAAAAGCUGUAAAUGGAGCAUUAAACUUAUUGUAAGCCUAUUGGGGUACAUAUUUGAUUUCUCAUUUAUAUUCAGUUUUAUUUUUAUUGAUUUCUGUAAAUAUUUAUCUAUGUAUAUUUACUUGUGUGUACAGAAUUGAAUAUUGAACAAACUAGAAAUUUUGUUUAAAUGAGAGGAAGAAUUCAGUAAAUGUGUUUUGAUGAAACAAUAAUUUUAAAAUAUUAUUUUUAAUAAAAGAAAGUUUUUUUUUAUUAUUUAUAAAAAUUCAGAAAAAUGCAUUUAGAAAAAUCCAAAAAAUUGUUUUUAAUAGAAUUUGAAAUUUUUUUUAAUGACAUUGUCCAAAAAUUUUUUUGUUUAAUAAAAAUUGUCCAAAAAUUGUUUUGUAAAUAAAGUUGUCCCAAAAAUUAAUUUUUAAUAAAAUUGUCUAAAAAUAUUUUUUCAAAUGAAUUCUUUUUCUUUAAUUAAAAUGGGAUUAAAAGUGUUUUUCAGAUAUAGAAGAUUUAAAUAUUUGUUUUUCUUUUUAAUUAAAAUUUCUUUUGCAAAUAAAGUUAUAUCAUUUUAAAUAAUUUGUAAAAAUCACUCUUUUAAAUGAAAAUAAAUCUAAAUACUUUUGUAAAUAAAAUUGUAAAAAUUCAUUAUUUUCUAGUAAAAGUAACUAAAAAUAAUUUUUGUGCCCAAAUUGAAAUUUUGUAAUAAAUUCUUUUGAUACUAAGUGUAAAUAACUUUUUUUGAAAAUUGAAUAUAAACGAAGUUGAGAAAAUAAAUUGAUUCUUUUUUUGUAAGAAAAUAAUUUAAAAUCAUUAAUUUAAAAUCAUUUUUAAUAAAAUCCUUUGAAAUUUCUUUAAAACUUUUUAAAAUAUCUUUUAUUUAUUUAAUUCAAUAAAUCAUUCUGUAUAAUUCUCUCAUUAUUUAUUUUGUGUAUUUUCGUAAUUAGAUUUCAUCAUUAUUUGUGUAUAUUGCUUUUCACUAUGACUUGUACAUGCUCAUUUGCUUGAUUAUUAAUUUUGGUAUCCAUGAUUAAUUAGUUAAUUGUCACCAUUACUUCAUUUUAUUAGUAGAGACCCGAUUUUAGGGAUUUAGAGGGGUGUUGCGGUCUUUACUGUACCUUCCCGAUAAGUAACCUGACCCCCGAACUUGAUCCGGUUUUUCACAGAUCACCUUUUCCAAAAUAAAGAGUCACACUUAGGGUUUUUAUUUCUUAUUUUGUUUUCCCUUUAAAAAAAUUAAAAUAAGUGACGACUCCAAGUCUUUUUUCUAAGAAUCAAAUUUUAUCAAAUAAAACAAAAAGCGAGUUUCGCUAUCGAGUAGGAACGCAUGAGUCGAAAAUACAGGGUCCACAAAGACCCUUGAGAGAAUAUAGGGUUUGAUUUAUGUAAACUUGUGUAUUUGAUCUUUCAUAUUUAUUGAAUUUGCUUAAUUUGUAGUCGAUUAGACUUAUGAUUUUUACCUCAAUAGUGUUUUUUUAUUUUUUAUUUUAUGUAUAUUGGUAUGUUUGGUAAUUAUUUUCAAGAACAUUUUUCUUUUUUUUUAGAGCAAAAAAAAAAAAAAAAACAUGUCUCAUAACCAACAAGCUAUUUUCUAUUUUUUGUUCUUAAAAACAAAACACAAAGUAUUUUCAGAAAAUAAUAUAUUUUAGUUGUUUUCACUUAUUUUCACUUGUUUUCUAGAACCGUUUUGAAGAAUAAUUAUACAAACAUGUAAAAUGAUAAAAAAAUAAAAUACUAGAUAUAAAAAUUAUUUUUAAAAAUAUUAAAACAAAUUGAAAACAUUUUAGAUUUCUAGAUAGACUUUUGUUUUACAAAACAUAGAAAAUAGUUUUCAAAAACUGAUUUUCAGAAUUAUUUUUGAAAACAGUCACCAAAUAUGGCAUAUUAUGCCUUUUGUGCAACUAAAAUUCAUUUUAAUAUCUAUAAAAUGUUAUUUGUGAAAAAUUUGAAAUUUAAGACAUCAAAUCAUGGUUACCUAUUCACUCUUGUGUUAAUUUUAGGAAUCAAGAUUUGUACUUUCAAUCGGUAUCAAAGCAUAUUGAAGUUAAAAAAUUAAAUUUUUUAUUCUUGUAUAAUUGUUAUCUAUAUAUCUUAUAUUAAUUAAAGAAAAUAUUAUUUUUAAAAAAUUUGAAAUUUAAGACAUAAAAUGAUGACUACUUAUUCAAUCUCAUGGUAAUUUCAGGAAUUAAGAUUCAUACUCUCAAUUAUUAUCAAACCAUAUUAAAGUUAAAAAAUUAAACUAUUUAUUCCUACAUAAUAGUUGUUCGAUGGAACCACAAAGAGUACAUCAUCUAUAAAAUUUUUAUCAUGGUUUGUCUCAACAAUCUCCGUACCUAAUUUUCUUAGAAUAUACUUUAUAAGAGUAGGACAACAACUCGAGUGGGUUGGGUUGAGUUCAUGGCUAAUCCCACAUCAACCUAUUUCAAUGGGAGAUUGAUUCAACACAUUUGAAUAUAGUAACAUUGGGAAACAUCUUCAUUGUUUCAGUGCUUCAACAAAGGUUUGGAAAUUCUUGUAAGAAGAUCCACCUUCAAUCACACUUUUUCUAGCCAUUUCCUUCAACUUCUCUGCAUUUGCUUUUAUACCAUCAUCAGAAACCAACAUUUCGAUCUUCUUCUUAAUCUCAUGCCUUGAUAUGAAUCCAUUUUCAUCUGGGUUCAACCCCAAGCCCACCUUCCAUUUGUCGCAUAUGUAACUCUGGUUAUGGAAUUGAUCUGCAAAGUAAGGCCAGCAUAGGAAGGGGACUCCCAUGCCUAUGCCGUCCAUGGUUGAGUUCCAUCCACAAUGGGAUAAGAAACAUGCAACAGAAGGGUGAGCUAACACCUUUUCUUGGGGUGCCCAUGAAACAAUCUUUCCAUGCUCAGCUACUCUCUCUAUGAAACCAUCUGGGUAUUCAGCAGCUGAUCCAUUGGUGAAGUCUGAUCGGACAACCCAUAAAAAUGGCCGGCCUACAAGUUCAAUACCCAGUGCUAGUUCAUUGAAUUGGUUCUGGCUUAAGAUUGCUACGCUUCCAAAGGCAACAUAAAUGACUGAGCCAGCAGGUUGCUUAUCGAGCCAGCUUAUGCAAGUUGAAUCCUCAGGCCAAAAGUUUCCAGUAUAAUGACCCAGAUGAUUACUUGCAAGUAACGGGCCUAUUGGUAAUAUGUUGGGAAUCAAGUCACAAGCAGAUGAAUCAAGUUCGUAAACAGAGUUGCAAAGAAGCCAAUUGGAAAGAUUCAUAGCUGAGAUGUCUUUGAAAGCAAAUUGGAAAAUGACCUUUUGUAAGUUUGGAUCACUUGGGCAGCUCCAGGGCAAUUUGUUGCUGCUAAAGGCUGGGAUAUCCUUUGCCAGGGAGAUCAACUCGUCGUUCAAAAGAGAUCCUGCAAAGAUAUUACAAUUAUUAAUUUCCAUCAAAACCAAGAAAAUACUUAGCUACUUCCCCCGAUUUUUAUUGAAUUUUCAGGGGCUAUUAGCUUUAGUCUCUAACUUGUUUUCAAUUACUAGAACCUUCAUGUUUCAACAAAUUUAAUUUUAGAAAUAUGAUAUGUGCAAGUUGAAGUGUUAAUACCAUCAAUACCAUUUACAUGUCCGGCCUCAAUAAGCCUUGGAAUGUGAAAUAACAAAGCCAAGCUUCCUGGUCCACAGGGGCAAAACGCAACGCUCUUGAUCCCCAUCUUCUCGGCAACCUCUAGCGCCCACCCAACUGUUGUAUCAGCAAUAACACAAGUGAUCUUCUCAUCAUCAUUCGAGUUGUUAACCUUCUCAAUCAACUCCUUCAAAUGACCCGGCAUGACUCUUAACAUACUGUCUGUCGACUUGAGUAAAUCUUUUCGAUCCUCCCCUGGACCCAGUCCAUCUGGGAUCGAGGCUAGCCCUAUCCGACUCUGAGCCUCAUCCUCAUCUGGCAGUGCAGCCACCAGUUUUUCAUGUAUGAAGUCUGAGUUAACAAAGGUGACCUUGAUCCCAUGAUCAGAAAUCUGGUACGCAAACUUCAUAAGGGGAGUAACAUGUCCUUGUGCUGGGCAUGGAAUAAUCAGCACAUGAGGUCGGCCCAUGGUUGCUGCCAGCACUUCUGCUUCCUCUGAUCCCAAGUUUCAGGAUUAAUACUGCUUCUCUUUAUUAGCCUGAGCCCUCUAUUGUGUGAAUCGUAUACCUAUUUGCUAAAAUUUUAGCUGCAGCCCAUCUCCCAUUUAUGAAUUUCAUUCAUUAUCUGAAAGAUAUGGUGUUGUUGCUUUUAUCUCCUAUCUAUUCUGUCUUUAUCAAGUGUCUUGUGUAAUGGCCCAAACCCAAGGGUAAAAUCAUAAUUUAGAAAUUAUUAAUUAAUUAAAGUAAUUUAAUAAGGGUAAAAAGGUAUUUUCGUAUUAAAAACCCCUAUAUAUAAAUUAUAUCUUUCCUAUAUUCUCAAUUUAGAAAACUCUCUUACACAGAGAUCAAAAAGAUCAGAGAGCAUAGGGUUGAAGGUUUGAAAGUUUAGGGUUUGAAGAUCAAUUUUUAGGUACUUUCAAUUCGGGUGAAGAGUGAUGGCUAGGCUUGAGAAUUUUUCUUAGGAUUUUGGUUCAAAUUUUAUUUUGGACAUUGUUUAGAUGUCAAAAUUUAUUUUUUCGUUUAAAUUAUUUAAAUUUGGAGUUAUUUGGACAAUAACACUUUGAUUGAUGUGUUAAUUUUUUAAAAGUUGAUACUUGGAGAUUUUAGAAUUUUGUCCUAUUACUCUAAAUAAGAAUUUGGUAAUUGGUAAAUUUUCAAUUACAAUACGAAAGUUUGUGUCGUUUUCACUUUGAGCCUUUGGGUUUGAGGUGUGAAAUGACUGUCAUGCCUUUCGAGUGGGUUUUGGGGCGUGACAUCUUGUGUGUCUCUCCCGUUACUUUGGUGUAAUUUUAAAGCUAUAUAGCCUAUAUUGCACUGAUAAACUUUUGGUUUCUACAUUACACACUCCAUAUAUGCAUUAAACUUUUUGUUAGUGCAGCCAUUGGAUUGUAGUCAUUUUUUCUACUUGGUUUUUCCACCAAGUUAUUGAUACCCUAUGGAUUUAUUCUCAAGUGCUUCAAGGUAUAUUAUCUGAAGUUACCAUUGGUUGUUUGCUUUGUCUUUUAUCUAGAACCUCAUAUGUAGCUAGCCUCUUUUUGUUGUUGCAUGAUUGGUUUGAGCUCUUCCUUCUUAUCCCAUGUGUUUGUUGACCAAGCUUGUAUUGAUGUUGAACCUGAUUGAUGCUACUAGCAAGGGAAAUGAAAUUGAAAUAUAUAUUCUUUCUCAAUGUUUUAAAUAAAAAUUAUGUUUCAUUCAAAUAUUUCAAUUUAAAAAAUCAAAAUUUUCUUGUCUUAAACAAUAUUCAUUAUCAAAAUAUUUAAAAUUUUGUUAUAUUAUAUUAUUUAAUAUAUGAAAAUAAUUUAUAUAUAUAUGUGUGUGUCCUAUAUGUUAACUUAGGAUUUAACAUAUUCUAUAUGGAAGAUAUAUAAAAAAGAGAUCAAACAAUAUAUCACAAUACUUAUCCUAUAUCAUAUUUGGUUGAACAUAAGAAAAGAUAAAUUAUAAAAUAACUUAUCCUAUCCUAUUACUAAUUAAAUAUGGGAUAAGAUAUAUUAUCUUAUUUUUUAUCUUAUCUCAUACUAUAUCUAAUUAAUUAAAUAUAGUCCAAAUAUAAAUUGUUUUGUGGGUGAUUCUAAUCAUCUUGAUCAUAAAAACUACCAAAAAGGUCGUGACAAAAAGAAAGAAGAUUCAUAGGCUUAUCCAAUAACAAGUAUUAAUAUUCAUUUUCAUAGAGACGUGUUCAAAUCAUCUAAGGCCAAAUUAGAGAUAAAUAAAUAUUGUAAAUUUUGUCAUAAUUAAUUGAAUACAUUUUUUUUUCUAUAAUAAUAAAAUGAGUUCAUUGAAUAGAGAAACAAAAACAAACAUGUUUCCAAUGAACCUAUGCUCAAAUCUUUCCAAAAUUUAAAAUAUAGAAUAUAUUAAAAUGCUAUGGUCUCUUCUCUGCACUCCACUACAUGAUAUAUUUUCAUUUAUUUAUUUAUUUGGAUAAACUUGCUUGAUCCAACUCAUUUACAUCUUUGAUUCAAAUGUGGGAGUCGGUCAGGGCCCCGGAGGGGCACAUGCCCCCCUUAAAAAAAUAAAAUCAUAAUAAUUUAAGCCAUUGACUUACUAUUUGAGGAGAAAACAUGCUUUUCAAUGCACUAUAUAUCAUAAUUUUUUAUAAUAUGAACAAUAUAAAAAAAUAAAAGAUUGUGAUGUAUUCAAGUAUUGAAAUACCACUAGAAACCAAGGUUUAAAUUUGAGUUUUGGACUUUGAAAUUUAUGAAAAUGGGGUCAAGCAGAAGAAAGAUUUUUGGUAGCCAACCAAGGCAGAAUCAGUUUCUUUGGCUGCUUCAUCUUUCAUUUAUUUCCUUUUCCCAUUAAAUUAUUAUUAAUUAUCUAACAACUUAUGUUGAAUAAUGAAGGGCUGCCCCCACUCUUAAUUACAAUACAAAAUUGGUAGUUGUUUUUAAAUAUUUAGCAUAUAUCACUCUCAAAUGCUUCUACAUAAUAAUAUCACCUUAAUAAUAUCACUCUCAAAUGCUUCUACAUAAUUCCCAAAUACUUUAGCAUAUAUUCUAGCUAGGGAAGUGAUCUCUAGUUUUUUUUUUGUCCUUUAUGGAAGGUCUUAUGCAGCCAACCUCGUUUUCUAGUUGUAUGGCUUUUAGUUCUUGGUUCUUUUCCCAUGUAUUGGUCUUUUUCUCAAUCUUAUAUGCCUUCAAACGAUCCCAUUUUCCUCUGGGUUCAGCCCUAAACCCACCUUUAUACAUCACAGAUACGGAAGUGGACGCCAAGGUAAGGACAAACCUUCACCAUUCGGUUCCAAGCAGAGUGGAUUAAGAAACCAGCAAGGACAAACCCUUGGCUUUGAUUCACUCAGCCGGUGGCAGAGCCAAUAAUUUUUCUUAGAACAAGCAUUACAAUAACCCUGGAUGAAUUUUAGAAAUUGCUGAAAAUGAGUAACUUUAGACUUUAGUCAUGAAUAAAUAUAACAUAUCAAAUUAAAAAUUAAAAAUAGAUUUUAUUAACUUACUAGUUAAAAAUUGAAAUUUAAAAAGAAAAUCUUCAAAAAAGUUAAAAAAUGGGAAGAAAAUAAGAAAUCUUACUAGUUAUUUCUCAAUAAUUUUAAUAAUCUCUUCCUAGUAAAAAGGAUCUUUAAAAAAUUUAUUUUUUUUCCAAAUAGCUACAUACAAAUGAGUUGGAAGUAAUAAAAUAUUUUAUUAAUAAUUUCCUAUGAUAUAGUAAUUAUCGUUAAAAUUCCAAGUAAAAUAUAAAUAGUUAGUUAGAGUUUGAUAUUUAUUAUUAUGUAUUAAGGUACCCUAUUCUAACAAAAUUCUAGAGCACCCAAGAGGUAUUGUUUGGAAGAUUUACUAGUAAUCAUUGGAUUUUUUAUUUCAAUCUUCAUAAAGUAAUAGCAAGAACCAAAACUAAUUAAAAGAACUUGAUUAUAAGGUUUUGGUUAACAAUUUUUUUUCCAAAUAUUAUGAGGUCUACGCUAUAUAUUUUUUGAGAUUUACAUUGACCUUUGAAGAUUUGAGAUUAUCAUGAAAUCACAUUUAAAACCAUUCAAGUACAAUUGAAUUUGUUUGGGUGAAUAAUAACAUUAGAGGAUGUACUUCGAGUUUAUUGUAUGAUGAAACUCUUUUGAGCGGAAAAAAAAAACCAAUUUUGCACAUGAGUGCAUGCUUGAGACUAUUUCUGUAUAUAUUUGUCAUUUUUUAUUUGUGUUAUUGGUUGAGCUUACCAAGGUUUUCAAAGUAUAAAUAUACCUUAUUUUGUCAAAUAUUUUAAAUACAUACCAGAACAAUAUUAUCAUUAUUUCCUACACAUUUCCAUCACUUUCAAGAAUAUCAUUCUUGACACAAAUUUGUGCAUGGUGGUUAAUUAUACAUCCUAUCAAGGCAUUGAGGAGUUUACAAAAGAACAUAAUGUGUUGUAUAUAUAGAGGUGAAGACAUAUGUAAGUGCCAGCCCCUGACCUAGGAAAAUAGAAUGUUUGUUUCAUAUAAAUUUAUGUAUUUGCUCUUUCGUAUUUAAUGAAUUUACUUUGUUAGUGUCAAAUUGGGUCUGUGUUUGAUAUUUGUCGAGUUUUUAGUAGAAUGUAUGAGUGAUAUAUUUAUAGAGCUUAUAGUAAACUCUAUGGGUGAUUUUCUAUGUCUAAUACAUAUCUUUUGUGCGAUUGGAAAUCAUGCAUGUUAAUAUCAAAAUAUCUCAUAUUAAUUCAAGAAAUAUUUUUUGUGAAAAAAUUGAACUUUAAAACAUAAAAUCAUUAUUACAUAUUCACCCUCCAUAAAUAUCGGGAAUCAAGAUUCAUACUUUCAAUGGGUAUCAAAGCAUAUUGAAUUUAAAAAAUUAAAAUCUUUUAUUCCUACACAAUCUUGAUUCACGGAACCACAAGGACCAGAUCAUCAAUGAAAUUUUAUCAUUGCUUUAGUACUCGACAAUUUCUGUGGGUAGGAAUACAACUUGAGUAGGUUGGGUUGGGUUGGGUUGAUGGCGAUUUAACACAUUUGGGUUGGGUAGGAAAAUGUCUUCAUUGUUUCAGUGCUUCAACAAAGGUUUGGAAAUUCUUGUAAGAAGAUCCACCUUCAAUCACACUUUUUCUAGCCAUUUCCUUCAACUUCUCUGCAUUUGCUUUUAUACCAUCAUCAGAAACCAACUUUUCGAUCUUCUUCUUAAUCUCAUGCCUUGAUAUGAAUCCAUUUUCAUCUGGGUUCAACCCCAAGCCCACCUUCCAUUUGUCGCAUAUGUAACUCUGAUUAUGGAAUUGAUCUGCAAAGUAGGGCCAGCAUAGGAAGGGGACUCCCAUGCCUAUGGCGUCCAUGGUUGAGUUCCAUCCACAAUGGGAUAAGAAACAGGCAACAGAAGGGUGAGCUAACACCUUUUCUUGGGGUGCCCAUGAAACAAUCUUUCCAUUCUCAGCAACUCUCUCUAUGAAAUCAGGGUAUUCAGCAACUGAUCCAUCGGCGAAGUCUGAUCGGACAACCCAUAAAAAUGGCCGGCCUACAAGUUCGAGACCAAGUGCUAGUUCAUUGAAUUGGCGCUGGUUGAAGAUUGCUAAGCUGCCAAAGGCAACAUAAAUGACUGAGCCAGCAGGUUGUUUAUCGAGCCAGCCUAUGCAGGUCGAAUCCUCAUGCCAAAAGUUUCCAGCAUAAUGACCCAGAUGAUGACUUGCAAGCAAUGGACCUAUUGAUAAUAUGUUAGGAAUCAACUCACAGGCAGAUGAGUCAAGUUCGUAAACAGAGUUGCUAAGAAGCCAAUUGGAAAGAUUCAUAACUUGGAUGGCUUUGAAAGCAAGUCGGAAACAGAUCUCUUGUAAAGUUGGAUCAGUUGGGCAGCUCCAGGGCAAUCUGUUGCUGAUAAAGGCUGGGAUAUCCUUUGCCAGGCAGAUAAACUCGUGGUUCAGAAGAGAUCCUGCAAAGAUGUUUCAAUUUUAAUUGAAUUUUCAGGGGCUAUUAGCUUUAGUCUCUUAACUUGUUUUCAAUUACUAGAAAUCUUCAUGUUUCAUCAAUUUGGUAUAAGCAACAGAUUUAAUUUUAGAAAUAUGAUAUGUGCAAGUUUAAGUGUUAAUACCAUCAGUAGUAUUUAGAAGUCCGGCCUCAAUAAGCCUUGGAAUGUGAAAUGCCAAAGCCAAGCUUCCUGGUCCAAAGGGGCAAAACGCGACCCUCUUGAUCCCCAUCUUGUCGGCAACCUCUAGCGCCCACCCAAAUGCUGAAUCAGCAAUAACACAAGUGAUCUUCUCAUCAUCAUUCGAGUUGUUAACCUUCUCAAUCAACUCCUUCAAAUGACCCGGCAUGACUCUUAAAAUACUGUCUGUCAGCUUGAGUGAAUCUUUUCGAUCCUCCCCUGGACCCAGUCCAUCUGGGAUCGAGGCUAGCCCUAUCCGACUCCGAGCCUCAUCCUCAUCUGGCAGUGCAGCCACCAGUUUUUCAUGUAUGAAGUCUGAGUUAACAAAGGUGACCUUGAUCCCGUGAUCAGAAAUCUGGUACGCAAACUUCAUAAAGGGAGUAACAUGUCCUUGUGCUGGGAAUGGAAUAAUCAGCACAUGAGGUCGGCCCAUGGUUGCUGCCAGCACUUCUGCUUCCUCUGAUCCCAAGUUUCAGGAUUAAUACUGCUUCUCUUUAUUAGCCUGAGCCCUCUAUUGUGUGAAUCGUAUACCUAUUUGCUAAAAUUUUAGCUGCAGCCCAUCUCCUAUUUAUGAGUUCCAUACGUCAUCUGAAAGAUAUGGUGUUGUGGCUCAAGUUCUUUGUCACUUUGGUUUUAUCUUCUAUCUAUUUUGUCUUGAUGAAGCAUCUUGUGUGGCUCUCCCGUCACUUUGGUGUAGCUUUGAACCUAUAUUGCACUGAUAAACUUUUGGUUUCUGCAUUACAAACUCCAUAUAUGCAAUAAACUUUUUGUUGGUGCAGUCAUUGGAUUGUAGCCAUUUUUCCUACUUGGUUUUUCCACCAAGUUGCUGAUACCCUAUGGAUUUAUUCUCAAGAGCUGCAAGGUAUAUUACGAGGAAGUUAUCAUCGGUUGUUUACUUUGUCUUUAACCUACAACCUCUUAUGUAUCUAGCCUCAUUUUGUUGUUGCAUGAAUGGUUUGAGCUCUUUGUUCAUAUCCCAUGCAUGUAUUUGUUAAACAAGCUUGUAUUGAUGUUGAGCCUGAUUGAUGCUAGAUUUGGACAAUGAAGGGAAAUGAAAAUUUGGACAUGCAAUGGCUAGAUUUCACCUUAAUAGUAUUCAAUUAAUGCUUCUAUAUAAACAGUACUCCAAAUGCUUUAGCAUAUAUUCUUGGGAAGUCAUCUCUAGUUUACUUUGUUCUUUAUGUAGGGCCUUAUGCAGCUAGUCUCUUUUUCUAGUUGCAUAUAUGGUUUUGAGCUCUUGGUUCCUUUCCCUUGUAUUGAUUUUUUUUUCUCUAUCUUAUACCUUCGAAUGAUCCCGUUUUCCUCUUAGUUCAGCCCUGCAUGCACCCACCUUUGUAAAUCACAGAUAUGGAAGUGGUCGCCAAAGUAAGGACAGACCUUCAUCAUUGAGUUUCCAAGCAGAGUGGAUUAAGAAACCAGCAAGGACAAACCCUUGGCAUUGAUUCACUCAGCCGGUGGCAGAGACAAGAAUUUUUCUAACUAGAACAGAAGCAUUACAAUAACCCUGGAUGAAUUUUAGAAAUUGGUGAAAACGAGUAAUUUUAGACUUUAGUUAUCAAUAAAUAUAAUAUAUCAAAUUAAAAAUUGAUUUUAGGAUCUUACCAAUUAAAAAUUGAAACUAAAAAGGAAAUUUUUCAAAAAAGUUAAAAAAUGGUAAUAAGAUACAAAAUGUUAUUAUUUUUUUUUCUCAAUAAUUUAAUAAUCUCUUUUAAGAAAAUUAUUUUUUACCCCAAAUGACUACAUAUAAAUGAGUUGGAAGUAAUGAGAUAUUUUAUUAAUAAUUUCUUAUGAUAUAGUAACUAUCAUUAAAAUUUCAAGUAAAAUAUAAAUAGCUAGUUAGAGUUUGAUUGUUAUUAUCUAUUAAGGUACCCUAUUCUAGCAAAAUUCUCUAGCACCGAAGAGGUAUUGUUUAGAAGAUUUACUAGUAAUCAUUGGAUUUGUGAAUUCAAAAUCUAUCAAGCAAUAGGAAGACACAGAACUAACUAAAAGAACUUGACUACAAAGUUGUAGUUGACAAUUAUUUUUUCCCCAAAUAUUAUGAGAUCUCUAAGUAUUUUUUUGAGAUUUACAUUGGCCUUUGAAAAAAUGAAAUUAUCAUGAAAUCAUAUUUAAGACCAUUCAAGUAAGUAUGAUUGAGCUUGUUGGGGUGAAUAAUAAUAUUAAAUGAUGUACUUUGAGUUUAUUGUAUGAUGAAACUCUUUUGAGCGGAAGAAACCAAUUUUGCACAAGUGUUUGAAAUUAUUUUUUAUUUUUAUUUUUGUCAUUUUUCAUUUGUGUGUUAUUGGUUGAGCUUGCUAGGGUUUUCUAAGUAUAAAUAUACCUUAUUUUGUCAAAUGUUUUAAAUACAUAUUAGAACAAUCAUUAUUUCCUAUGCAUUUCCAUUUUUUUUUUGAUAAGUAAAAGAAGUAUAUUAAACGAAAAGAGGAAACACAAAAAAUCGGUGCCCUCUAAGUAUACAGGGAGUAUACACACCACCUUUCCUAACUAGGAGCCUAUCCAGUCUAUAAAACUUACAAGAGAAGAAUGACUCUCUGCUAGGGAACCCCUGACCCAAUACCAAAGAUUACAUACAAAAGAAUAUUUCAACCUCUGAAGCGAAAGGUCCUCAUCCCCAAACGCUAACCUAUUUCUCUCCUUCCAAACUGUCCAAAAAAUACAUAACGGCGCCAUUUGCCAAGCCUUCUUGCGUCUUUUUCCCACAAACCCUCCAUUCCACUCAAGAAGGGUUGCCUUCACUGAACACGAGAGAGUCCAAGAUAUACCAAAAAGAGAGAAAAGAAGGUUCCAUAGGACCCGUGUCUUGAUACAAUGCAGUAGGAGGUGAUCCACUGUUUCUUCUUCAGAUAAACAGAGGAAGCACCUAUUUGCCAAAGAGAACCCCCUCCUUUGAAGUUGCUCCUGAGUUAAAACUUUGCCCCAAGAAGCCUCCCAAGCAAAGAAAGCUACCUUGGGAGGCACUCUUGCCCUCCAAAUUCUAUCACUAGGAAACAAAGAAAGACCCCCCGGUUCCAUCAUAGAAUAAAGGGAUCUAACUGAGAAGACCCCAUCCUUUGAAGCUGUCCAUAUCACUCUAUCUUCCUCCUCCCUUUGAACCCUGAAAGCUUGGAUCUUCUGCAACAACCGUUCCAACAAAAUAAUCUCCCAAUCGUUAAACGCCCUUGCAAAGAGAGGAGUCCAGCCAAUCCCAUCACCAACCGGAUUCCACACAUCCGAAACCCAAGCAUUCUUUGACAUGGAUAUGGAAAAAAGAGAAGGGAAAGACUCACAAAGAGGCCCAUCUCCACACCACUUGUCUUUCCAAAAUUUCACUCUUUGCCCAUUACCCAAAUGAAAGGCUACCCUGCCGUCAAAAAGCCCCCACUUCUUCCUAAUUGCUUUCCAAAGCCCAACUCCAUUUCUUCCCAACACAUCCCGAGUACUCCACCCCCUUCCUCUACGCCAUACUUUAGACUAAUUACACUCCUCCACAAUGCAUCUCUCUCAUUAGCAAACCUGCAAUUCCACUUACACAAUAGGGCGUUAUUCAUCAAAGAUAAAUUUCUCACCCCUAGACCACCUUUUCUUUUCUCCAAACAUAUCAAGUUCCAUCUUACAAGGUGAGGUUUAUAGGCUAAAGUUCCCCCACCCCACAGAAAAUCCCUCUAAAUUUUCUCCAGUCUCAUCCUUACUUUUCUAGGCAAGUGAAAUAGAGACAUCAAAUAAAUAGGCAUGCUGGACAUAGUGCUUCUGAUUAGGGUGAGUCUACCCCCUUUAGAUAUGUACUGCUCUUCCACAUAGCAAGCCUUCUACGAAAACGCUCUUCAACCCCAUUCCACACCGCCAAAGAAUUGAAAGCUGCCCCAAGGGGCAUUCCCAAAUAACUAGAGGGAAAACCUCCCACUUUACACCCCAACUCCAAAGCCAAACCCUCUAUAUUCAGCACCCUUCCAACCGGGAUUAUCUCACUCUUCUCUAAAUUAAUCCUCAACCCCGAACAGGCCUCAAACCACAUGAGGAGCCAACUUAGAUAUGUCAUCUCGUCUGGAGAGUCCUCACAAAAGACUAACGUAUCAUCCGCAAACAACAAAUGCGAUAUAUGCAUCCCCUCACCCCUCCCACCACUCACUUUCCACCCAGCUAAGUAACCCCCACUAAUCGCCCUUCUCAUCAUACUACUAAAAACCUCCAUGGCAAUCACAAACAAAUAAGGGGAAAGGGGAUCUCCUUGUCUUAGCCCCCUCGUGCUUUGGAAAAAACCGGAUGGAGACCCAUUGACUAACAAGGAAAAUUUCACUGUGGAAAUGCACCAAUCAAUCCACUUUAUCCAUCUCUCUCCAAACCCCAUCUCUUUAAGAACGGCCAACAAAAAACUCCAGCUAACAUGGUCAUAAGCCUUCUCUAUAUCCAACUUGCAUAACACCCCUCCCACAUUGUCUUUCAACCUUGAGUCCACAGCCUCGUUUGCAAUCAGCACUGCAUCCAAAAUCUGUCUACCCUCCACAAAGGCAUUUUGAGACUCUGAAAUCACUUUCCCCAUAACCUUUUUAAUUCUGUUGGCCAACACCUUGGCCAGCAACUUGUAGAGGCUACCUACAAGGUUGAUGGGCCUGAAGUCUUUCAAGUCUUCAGCUCCUCCCCUCUUUGGGACUAGUACAAGGAAAGUUGCAUUAAGAGAUUUUACAAAUCUACCCCUCUCAUGAAAUUCCUUGAAGAAUCCCAUUAUUUCAGCCUUUACUAAAUCCCAACUGAACGACCAGAAGGCCAUGGUGAAGCCAUCCGGGCCGGGGGCCUUAUCCUUGCCUAGAUCUGAAAGUGCCACGAACACCUCCCCUUCCGAAAAGGGAAUUUCCAGCCCCUCAGCCUCACAGUUGUUUAAUCUCAAGAAGGGCAACCCCUCAAUACCAGGACGCCAUCCUCCUUCUUCAGAGUACAGAUUAUUAAAAGCACCCACCACACUAUUUUUUAAUUCUAACUCCUCCGUAUGCCAACAAUCAUCCACUUUCAGCCUUGACAACCAGUUUCUUCUACUAUGCGCGUUCGCCAUCCUAUGAAAAAAUUUGGUAUUAUUGUCCCCCUCCUUCAACCACAAUUCCCUUGAUCUCUGUCUCCAAGAAAUUUCUUCCCUCAGCACCCAUGUCUUAUAAGCCUCCUGAGCCUCCUUCCUUGCUUCACAAUCCUCCAGACUCAGAGUUGAAUGAUUCUCCACUGUAUCCCAGUACACCACCUGGCUGAGAGCUUCUCUCUUCUUAGUCUCAAUUACCCCAAAAACUUCUUUGUUCCAAGUCUUUAAUAGCCCUUUUAAGGCUUUUAAUUUUGCAUCCAGGACAAAACUAAGAGACCCAGUAAAAGAUAAACUGCCCCACCAGCUCUUCAACUGAUCCAUGAAUCCCCUUUCCUCCAACCACAUAUUCUCAAAUCUGAAUGGUGACGGGCCCCUCUUCAAACCUCCAUCCUCAAGAAGAAUAGGAGAAUGAUCAGAGACUGGUCUAGCAAGAAUCCCCUGCAUGGCUCCAUUGAACAUUCUGUCCCACUCAUCCGUAACCAAGAACCUGUCAAGCCUAGAUUGAGACUGGUUGUUUAACCCCCCUCGCCAAGUAAAGAGACCCCCCUGUAAGGGGUAGUCCCUUAGCUCCAAAUCCUCUACCACUUCAGUAAAUCUUUUCAUUGAAGCAGAUAACUCACCUCCCCUGCUACGCUCUUCCGGGUAUCUAAUCAUAUUAAAGUCUCCCCCCACACACCAAGGGUCUCUCCAUAACCCUUUUAUUGAUCCAAGCUCCUCCCAAAAAACCUCUCUAUCCCUUCUACACACCGGCCCAUAAACACCAGUGAAGACCCACCUCAUCCCAUCCAUACAAUUCUUGAACAGACAUGACACUGAAAAAAUCCCUUCUUCCACCUCCAACAAAUCAACCACUCUGUUGUCCCAAAACACCAGAACACCUCCAGCUGCCCCCUUAGAGUUAAUUGCUCUCCAGUCAAUAUGUCUUCCCACCCCAAGGCUACGAACAAUCCCCGUACUCAUGUCCUUGAUUUUUGUCUCCUGCAAACACACCACGUCCACCUUGUUGGAUUUUAUUACAGACUUAAUGAUUUUCCUCUUCUCAUUAUCAUUUGCCCCUCUAACAUUCCAAGAUAAGAUCUUUAUCUUCAUUUAAUCCCUGAUCCUGAAUCCCCUCCAAAUUUGCCUUCAUUGGAAGCCAGCUUGGCUCUUUUAUAGCUUACUGUCCAUUCCAGCUUCUUUAAUUCCCUAAUGGAUUUUGUGACAGAAGACUUUGUCUUUUUAUUCUCCCUACCCUGAUUUUUCUUUUCAAUUCUCCCCUUCAUUCUUCUCAACAGGUAUAGAAUCUCCUCCUCAAACCCAACUGUCGGCAUGCCCAAGCAGUGACUGAAUUUCGCAAGGCAGCUGGAGCUCCAUACUUCCUCUUCGUCCCCCACUUCCACCUGAAGGGCCAUCGUCUCCACUAAUGGGCUUUCUAAAACCCCUCCAAAAGGAACAAUGGCUAAAUCAGUCCCAUUUGCCUCAUCACCCGACGCUCGCGGAGACAUGUUUCCAUCUUCGUGAACCGAGAGGUCCCUGUUCCUUUCUUCUUCCACGGCCCCAAACAAACCACUGAUCACUCCCACUUUCCCCACCGCAGCGCCAUCCGACCCUAAGAAAGGAGAAGAAGGAGAAAAAGCCCCACACCCCAAAGAGAAAUUAGGGGAUUUUAGUUUACGGGGGUACCUGGAAGCCUCGUUCAACAGCGCGUCGUCAGCGGGCUUCCGAUGGCCGAGGGAAGGCUCCAUGCCGCCGACGCAACUCGCGACCAACAUCUCCUGCUCCAGCUCCGUAAGGAUCCCGACAGACUCGGGGUGAGCCCUAUAAGGGACGGGCUCCCUUAAAAGGUCCAAAUGGGCCUCAGGAUUAAAAAGCCCAGAAAGCUCCUCAAUCCCCUUAGUCCAACCCGUCAAUUUGGGGCAGAGAGGGGGCGGGCCUUCGGCCCAACCCAUACCUUCCUUAGAAAACAGCCCUCCAUCCCCUUUUAAAAAAGCCCCACUGCCAGUCUUGGGCCCAGGCCCACUCCCUGAGCAGCCCACUGCAGAGUCAACAAACUCCCUGCCCCAUUCUUUGCCAUCCAUCCUGCUUGUUCUGCCACACGCCACCUUCACUUCAGUCUCCCUUUUUUGAAAAUCUGCUUUGGGCUCCCGUACUCUAGAUUCAGCGCGUGAGGCUCCCCCACCUUCAUCCCUAACCUCCCACUCACUUCUUCUCUGCAUCCGCAAGCAUGACCCAUCCUGCAACACCCUCGGAAUGGCUUCCCACCACAAGCAAAGUUCCCACCUAGUGUUACCAGCCUCCACCUCCAUUGUUCCAGGCCUUUUCAUUCCCGAAUUUUUAACCAAAAUCCGAGCCCACUGCAGCUAAGAGAAGAGGGUCGUGUCCUCAUCCACAGCUACAAACCCUCCACAGCAGUCUCCAAUGCUCUUGAAGACCUCCCUACUCCACAGAUGAAGAGGAAGGCCUACAACUCUUACCCACACUUCCUGGCUCUCUUUCCAAGUGCACCCCACUACCGGUCCCCACCUUUGCAAUAGAAACUCUCUGUCCUUAAUACGUCUGCUCCCUCUAAGAAGCACCAUAUCAGCUUCCCAUUUGUUUUGAAACACAAACAACACCAGGGCCCCACCCAACCUGAAUAUUCUUAUCUCCCCUUUCAGUAACCAAACCUCAUACGCCCAUCUCUUCAAAGAAGGCAAUGACGGGAUAGACUCAGAACUACCACCGAAACAACCCACCAGGCAAUGCCCAAGCUGUUCCUCCCUAUACAUUAUUGCCUUUUCCCCUAGGUUCACCCUCAUAGACUCCACUGGCAUACCUUUCUUCCCUUUAACUACUUCUGCAUACGAACCUGACCCUUUCUCUGAGGUAUUGGCAUUGCUCUCCUCCUUACCCAUGGACGGCACACUCUGGAAGCUAAUCCUCCCUUCUGUGGAAGAGACCCCAAGAGCCCUCAAAUUCUUAGCCAGCAAGAACCAUCCCCCUACUAAGCCACUUCCCUCAGGAAAAACUAGACAGAACUUUUUCCUUUUCGCAUCUCUGACCGAGCAGAGCAAAAAUCUCCCAGCCGCAUUAGAACGACAUUCUAGACUGAAUUUUCUUGCUCCUUCAUCCCAAACUUUUAAAAGCUUCGAGGUAGACUCUCCUCUGCACCAAGCUUCCACACCUUCCAACAGAAGGCUUAAGCCUUUUUCUCCAAAUCUUAUCCAGGAGGAGAGACCUUUGCUCCUUUCCCAGAUGGUUCCUCUUAGCCUUCCUCUGAUCUCUUCAAUGGAUAUUUUGAAAGACUUGGAUUCAACGGCAAACCAACUCUUACCUCCCUUCGGAAACCCAUGGGAGUCCCUCACUCCCAUGCUGAUGAAUUUUCUCUCACACUCAUAAAGAAAAGGGCAAAACACAACAAGACGAAAAACCCUAGGCUUCUUCCAUCACUCUCAAGAACCUCAUUGUUGACAUAAAUUUGUUUAUGGUGGUUAAUUACAUCCCAUCAAGGUAUUGAGAAGUUUACGAAGGAGUGUAAUGUGUUGUGCAUGGAUGUGAAGACAUGUGAAAGUGUCAACUGUGUCAGACACAGACCUAGGAAAACAGAACUUCUGUUUCAUGUAAACUUAUGGUUUUAUAUUUGUAGAGUUUUUAGUAGAAUUUAUGGGUGAUAUAUUUGUAGAGCUUUUGGUAAACUCUGUCGGUGAUUUUCUAUGUCUAAUACAUGUCUUUUGUGUGGUUAGAAUUCAUGUUAAUAUCUAAAUAUUUCAUAUUAAUCGAAGAAAAUAUUAUUUGUGAAAAAUUGAACUUUAAGACGUAAAAUAAUUAUUACCUUUUCACCCUUCAUAAAUUUCAGGAAUCAAGAUUCAUACUUUCAAUUGGUAUCAAAGCAUAUUGAAUCUAAAAAAUUAAAAUCUUUAAUCCCUACAUAACAUAGAUUCAUGGAACCACAAUGAGCAGAUCAUCUAUGAAAUUUUUAUCAUAGCUGUUGAAGGCUGCGUUACCAAGACCACUUCAAUUUCCUGAUGUACUCGCCUCUUCAACUGAAGAUGAUGCUUCCUUCUUUUGACCUACAAAAGAUGUUCGGACAGGAGGUCCGGACACACCCUCCGAUACUUUUAUUAGUUUUGCUCUCUAGCAUAUUGAUAUUUUUUAUGGGGCCCUUCUCCUUAGGAAUCCCUUCCCUUCUUUGACUGUGUGGGGGCCUUUUAUAGUGCUAGGAGUUUUGUCUCUUUAAAUGGUGGGAAGACUUUUUGGCUGUCAUGAUGGUGCUUAGAGGGUGACAGAGCCAUCAUUAUCCUGCAGGCGGCUGUCAGAGAUUGCUGGAUGGAUGAGUUGCCGUCAUCCUUGUCUUUUCACUCUGUAGGCGGCGCAGGGUAGGUCGUGGCAGGUCGCCUGAAGUGACCCAGGAAGGUCAUGUUGAGCAUGCUUUUGGUAAAAUGAGUAAUGAUUGCCCGCAAGACACAGUCAAGAAUCUUGUUUGAGACGUUAGCCACUGGGUUCGGAUUGGACAUCCGGACAGGGGGGUAUGCAUCGCAUGUCAGUCCACGUGAUAGUCCGGACAGAGGGUUGGAUGUGCCAUGUGUCAGUCCAUGUGAACAUCUGGACAGGGGGUUGGAGUGCCACGUGUCCAAUGGAGGAGUGCCUUGUGAGGCCACCACGUGUACGCUUAGGGGUGGUCCCUACAAUAGCUUGUCUCAAUAAUCUCAACACCUAAUUUUCAUGUUUCUUUAAUGAAGUCUAGAAUAUAAUUUCUGUCAGUAGGAAUACAGUUUGAGUAGGUUGGGUCGGGUUGAUGGCGAUUUAACACAUUUGGAUAUAGUAGCAACGGGAAACAUCUUCAUUGUUUCAUUACUUCAACAAAGGUUUGGAAAUUCUUGUAAGAAGAUCCACCUUCACUCACACUCUUUCUAGUCAUUUCCUUCAACUUCUCUGCAUUUGCUUUUAUAACAUCAUCAGAAACCAACAUUUCGAUCUUCUUCUUAAUCUCAUGCCUUGAUAUGAAUCCAUUUUCAUCUGGGUUCAACCCCAAGCCCACCUUCCACUUGUCGCAUAUGUAACUCUGGUUAUGGAAUUGAUCUACAACGUAGGGCCAGCAUAGGAAGGGGACUCCCAUGCCUAUGCCGUCCAUGGUUGAGUUCCAUCCACAAUGGGAUAAGAAACAUGCAACAGAAGGGUGAGCUAAAACUUUUUCUUGGGGUGCCCAUGAAACAAUCUUUCCAUUCUCAGCAACUCUCUCUAUGAAACCAUCAGGGUAUUCAGCAUCUGAUCCAUUGGUGAAGUCUGAUCGGACAACCCAUAAAAAUGGCCGGCCUACAAGUUCAAUACCCAGUGCUAGUUCAUUGAAUUGGUGCUGGCUUAAGAUCGCUAGGCUUCCAAAGGCAACAUAAAUGACUGAGCCAGCAGGUUGUUUAUCGAGCCAGCUUAUGCAAGUUGAAUCCUCAGGCCAAAAGUUUCCAGGAUAAUGACCCAGAUGGUUAUUUGCAAUUAACGGGCCUAUUGGUAAUAUGUUGGGAAUCAAGUCACAAGCAGAUGAGUCAAGUUCGUAAACGGAGUUGCAAAUAAGCCAAUUGGAAAGAUUAAUAGCUGAGAUGUCUUUGAAAGCAAGUCGGAAAAUGACCUCUUGUAAGGUUGGAUCACUCGGGCAGCUCCACGGCAAUCUGUUGCUGCUAAAGGCUGGUAUAUCCUUUGCCAGGCAGAUCAACUCGUCGUUCAAAAGAGAUCCUGCAAAGAUAUUACAAUUAUUAAUUUCCAUCAAAACCAAGAAAAUACUUAGCUACUUCCCCCGAUUUUUAUUGAAUUUUCAGGGGCUAUUAGCUUUAGUCUCUUAACUUGUUUUCAAUUACUAGAAAUCUUCAUGUUUCAUCAAUUAGGUAUAAACAACAGAUUUAACUUUAGAAAUAUGAUAUGUGCAAGUUUAAGUGUUAAUACCAUCAGUACUAUUUAGAAGUCCGGCCUCAAUAAGCCUUGGAAUGUGAAAUGCCAAAGCCAAGCUUCCUGGUCCAAAGGGGCAAAACGCGACCCUCUUGAUCCCCAUCUUGUCGGCAACCUCUAGCGCCCACCCAAAUGCUGAAUCAGCAAUAACACAAGUGAUCUUCUCAUCAUCAUUCGAGUUGUUAACCUUCUCCAUAAACUCCUUCAAAUGACCCGGCAUGACUCUAAAAAUACUGUCUGUCAACUUGAGCGAAUCUUUUCGAUCCUCCCCCGGACCCAGUCCAUCUGGGAUCGAGGCUAGCCCUAUCCGACUCCGAGCCUCAUCCUCAUCUGGCAGUGCAGCCACCAGUUUUUCAUGUAUGAAGUCUGAGUUAACAAAGGUGACCUUGAUCCCAUGAUCAGAAAUCUGGUACGCAAACUUCAUAAGGGGAGCAACAUGUCCUUGUGCUGGGAAUGGAAUAAUCAGCACAUGAGGUCGCCUGCCCAUGGUUGCUGCCAACACUUCCACACACUUCUGCUUCCUCUGAUCCCAAGUUUCAGGAUUAACACUGCUUCUCUUUAUUAGCCUAAGCCCUCUAUUGUGUGAAUCGUAAACCUAUUUGCUAAAUUUUAGCUGCAGCCCAUCUCCUACACAUGAAUUUCAUAUAUUAUCUGAAAGAUACGGUGUUGUGGCUCAAGUUCUUUGGCACUUUAAUUGGUUUUGUCUAGAUCCUACCUAUUUUGUCUUUAUGAAGUGUCUUGUGUGGCUCUCGGUUACUUUGGUUUAAUUUUAAAACCUAAAUUGCACUGAUAAACUUUUGGUUUCUGCAUUACACACUCCAUAUAUACAAUAAACAUUUUGUUGGUGCAGUCAUUGGAUUGUAGCCAUUUUUUCUACUUGGUUUUUCCACCAAGUUGCUGAUACCUCGCUGUGUAUUUUAUUCUCAAGUGCUUCAAGGUAUAUUACGAGGAAGUUAUCAUUGGUUGUUUGCUUUGUCUUCACCUACAACCCCUUAUGUAGCUAGCCUCCUUUUGUUGUUGCAUGAAUGGUUUGAGCUCUUUAUUCUCAUCCCAGCAUGUAUUUAUUAAACAAGCUUGUAUUUUUGUUGAGCCUGAUUGAAGCUAGAUUUGGACAAUGAAGGGAAAUGAAAUUUUGGACAAUGGCUAGAUUUCACCUUAGUAGCAUCACUCUCAAUUAAUUCUUCGAUAUAAACAUUACUCCAGAUGCUUUAGCAUUUAUUCUUGGGAAGUCAUCUCUAGUUUAUAACUUUGUCCUUUAUGUAGGGCUUUAUGCGGUCUCUUUCUCUAUGGUUUUGAGCUCGUGGUUCUUGUCCCUUGUAUUGAUUCUUUUUCUCUAUCUUAUACCUUCAGAUGAUUCCAUUUUCCUCGAGUUCAGCAGACGCUUUAGAAUAUAUUUUUGGGUAGUCAUCUCUAGUUUACUUUGUCCUUUGUGUAGGCCUUUAUGCAGCUAGUCUCUUUCUCUAGUUGUAUAUAUGGUUUUGAGCUCUUGGUUCUUUCCCCUUGUAUUGAUUCUCUUUCUCUAUCUUAUACCUUCAGAUGGUCCCAUUUUCCUCUGAAUCAGCAGAUGCUUUAGCAUAUAUUCUUGGGUAGUCAUCUCUAGUUUACUUUGUCCUUUAUGUAGGGCUUUAUGCUUGUCUCUUUCUCUAUGGUUUUGAGCUCUUGGUUCUUUUCCCUUGUAUUGAUUUUUUUUUUCUCUAUCUUAUACCUUCAGAUGAUCCAAUUUUCCUCUGAGUUCAGCCCUACACCCACCUUUGUAAAUCACAGAUAUGGAAGUGGUCGCCAAAGUAAGGACAAACCUUCAUAAUUGAGUUCCAAGCAGAGUGGAUUAAGAAACCAGCAAGGGCAAACCCUUGGCAUAGAGAGCUAUGGUUUAUUAAGCUACAAAUAAUCCUGGAUGAAUUUUAGAAAUUGCUGAAAGCUACAAAUAAUUUUUGAAUUUCUUUUAAUUUUUUUUUAAAAUUUUUUUAUUAAGCAAAAAAUUUCAAAUCAAACUAUACUUGAUACAUAAAAUUUAUUAAUUUUUAAAAUAAUUUGAAACUAAAAAAACCAAUUUAAUUGUUAGUUCUAGAAAGUCAUGGAGCUUAAUAAUAUUAAAGAGUCAUUGAGUAAAAUUUAUUUUGAAUGAAUUGGCUAAUUUAUUUUAUUUUUGCAUAUAAUCAUACUUUAUAAAUUUUGUUCAUUAAACAAAUAUACUCUAAGAGGGUGUUUGUUUUUUUGGCUUUUUGCUUAAAGCAAUUUGUUUUGAGAAUUUAGGUUAUUUGGUUUUCUAUUUUUUCACGACUUAUUAUAAAUUUUUUGCUGAAUAAAAAAAAUCAAAAUAUUUAGUUUUUUCUAAAUAGAAAAUAUAACAUAUUAGUUUUUCUUUAUUUUUUAAUACUAAAUAGAAAUAAAAUACUACAAAAACAAAUAACUUAAUACUUAACACUAUUAAACAUUAAAGUUCUAUUUAGAAUUAAGUAAAAAAAAAACAUCACCUAAAUUAAGAAAUAUUUAAUGCAUUAGAAUCGUUACUAAGCAUAUAAAUUUUUUAAAAUAACUUGAAACUCAAAAAGUGAAUCAAUUAACAUGAAAAUUUUAUGAACAAAAGUUGGCCUAAAAUGACUAUUAUUGCUCUUCUAUGUAGAAUCAUAUUCUUCAAAUUUUUCAUUGAAAAAUAAACUUUAAAUUAAGCAAAUUAAAACUUGAUGUGUUAGAUUUAUUAAUGAGUGUAAUAAUUUAAGCAAAAAAUAAUUUGAAACUCAAUCAGUGACCAACUAAUACAAAAAAUUUAUAGACAAAAAUUGGUCCAUAAUGACUAUUAUUAUUAUUACUAUUAUUUUGACAUGUAAUGAUAUUUUUAUGAAUUUUAUUAUUAGAGAAAUGAACUUCAAAAUAAAACUACACUAUGUAUUGAAUUUAAUAAUUUGAAACUACUAAAAUAGAUCUAUCCACUACAAAAACUAAUAGGUCGAAACUAAUAGAUUAUAAGUUAUGACUUUACUUUUUAUCCUCUAAUAUUUUAUGAAUUUUCUCACUAGGUGAAUACAUUCUAAAUUUAGUGAGACAUAAUUAAUAAUUAAUUUAAAUUUUUUUUAUGAAUCUUUUAAUUUUUAAGAAUAAUUUUGAAUUCAAAAAAUAAAGCCAAUUAAUUACAAAUUAAAUCAAAAUAUUUAAAACUUUGUCCACAAUUAUAUACUACACAUGCACAUCUAACGAAAACUUUGCUCAUUUAUAUAUUAAAAAAUUAAAAAUUAUUUUUUAAAAUAAAAUAUUAUUAAUAAUUAUUAUUUUUAAAUUAUAAUUGUUCUUUUUUUCUUUUUUCUUUUUAAAUGAUUAUGCUUAAGAUGUUAAUCUUCACAUUUUUAUAACAUAUACUAAAAUAAUAUUUUUAUAAAAAAAUAUAAUUUGUGAUUUUAGUAUAAUAUUAUUAUUUAUAAUUUACUAAAACUAUUUAUUUUUUUAAUUUAUCUGUAUUUACAAAACUAUUUUUAAUUUUUAUAAAACUUCAAUUAAAUUUAAUUAAUAUAAUUAAUAUCAGUGUUUUAAAAACCGAACUUAAUCUGUGACCAUCAACCGAGGACCAAACCGGUUUGGUCUACCUAUUGAACCAUUUGACAAUUGAACCGUCCGCGAACCGGCGGAGCCACGAUUGAACCGGUGAACCAGGCGGUUUGCCAUAAACCGAACAGUUCUUUGGUUAAUAUUUUUUUCAUUUUUAAAUCCAAGACAGAUGCAUUUUGCACGGAAAUGAAAAGCCCUAACCCCUCUCCCCUUUGCCCCCAUGCCCAACCGUCCCUUGCCCUCUCCAGGAGCCUUCCUCAGCCCCCCACCUUCGGCACCUCUAGCCAGCAGGCUUGCGCCGACACCGACGCCAAUGGAAGACAGUGACGCCGAUGGACGAAUGCGACGUCGACGACUCCACUGACUGGAGUUGUAAAUGUUGUUUGGCUUCCUUGUUUACUAUUUAAAUAUUUAUCAUUUGAUUUAUCUAAUUAUUUUAUUUGAUAUUUGUAUUAUUUUUAAUUUCUAAUUUUUGGAAAUUCUGAUUUUUAAAUAUGUUAUUUUAUAUUUAUGAUUUUAAUUUUUAAAUUUAUGAAUUUAAAUUUCUUAAUUUCGAUUUAAAUCAUUUUAUUUAUUUGAAAAUAAAUUUUUGGUUUUAAAAUAAGUUUUUGGUUUAAAAAUAAAUUUAAAUUUUUUUAAUUUUAAAAUAAAUAUAUGAUUUUCAAAUAAAUUCUGAUUUUUUAAAUUUGUGAUUUUAUAUUUAUGAAUUUAAAUUUCUGAAUUUGAUUUGAAUCAUCUUAUUCAUUUAAGAAUAAAUUUUAUGAUCUUAAAAUAAAUAUCUAAUUUUCAAAUAUAUUUUCUAUUAUCAAACAUAUUUUUGACUUUUAAAUAAAUAUAUGAUUUUAUAAAAAAUUUAUGAUUUUUUAAAAUUCUAAUAUUUUGAAUUUAUGUUUUCAAUUAUCAAUUGAAUUUAUGAUAUUAUUAUUAUUUUUAAUAUUUUUUUAAUUUUAAUAAUAUAUAUACAUAAUAUAUAUUAUAUAUUUAUGAUGUCACCUAUUCAAUCGCGGUUCAACACCAAUCCAAUUCAUGAUUCAUGAACCGAUAACUUUUCUAAUUUAAUGACCAAUCCGAUUCUGAAAACAUUAAUUAAUAUUACAUAAAUUGAAUUUAUAAUAUUUUUAAAAAUAACUUGCCAAACACCCCUAUUUUUAUAAAAUACUAAAAAGUUAUUUUUUGCUCUUUUAACAACAGUUUUUAAAGAUAAACAUUACAAAACAUGGCUAAACGGCCCUUAGCUCCUGGGUUUCAGCAAAAGAUUCAAAACAGCGCCAUCUUGUGGCCUCCGUCAACAUGUUUUGUUGCCCAAUUUUUGUGUAAGCUCUAAAUAAUGCUGCUUUCGAUUUUCAAUUGCUCUGUUCGUGCACUUUUUUUAUAUGUUGCCAUGUAGACAACAGUAUAGUUCUUGAUCCCCCAAUCAUACAUAAUUCUUUGCUCCACUACUAAUGCAUUACAUCAAUAUCUGUCAUUAAUUAACUCUACCACACAAAUUUCAUGCAGCAAUUGCCAUGAUUUUUGUUCACUAAGAUCACAUACCAACCCCUGCACAUGCAUACACAACAUGAAUGCAUUCGCUUUUAUUGAGAGAAUGGUUUCACACAUUUGAAUGUGGCAACAUUGGGAAGCAUCUUCAGAGUUUCAUUGCUUCAAUAAAGGUUUUGAAAUUCUUGUAAGAAGAUCCGCCUUCGCUUACACUCUUUCUAGUCAUUUCCUUCAACUUCUCUGCAUUUGCUUUUAUACCAUCAUCAGAGACCAACUUUUCGAUCUUCAUCUUAAUCUCAUGCCUCGAUAUGAGUCCAUUUUC
rnacentral:lncRNA from 1 species